rnacentral:lncRNA from 1 species
GCCUACUGUCGAAAAAGAAAAACGGAGGUUUGGAAUGGAAGAAAGUCCAAGACUGCCUAGCUACAGAAUUGAAAAGUAACAACGACCUUGGGAGUGUACGUAGAAUACUUCAACUAAGUUAUGAUAAUCUUCCUUACUACCUCAAACAGUGUUAUUGUAUUUAAGUGUUUUUCCAGAUGAUUAUUUGAUAAAAAGAAGGAAGUUGAUCCGGCUAUGGAUAGUUGAAAGGUUUGUGGAAGAGAAGCAAGGCUUUACAAUGGAGGAAGUAGCAGAGGAAUACCUUAAUGAACUCGUGAAUAGGAGUUUGAUCCAAGUGGUGGAGAAGAAUUAUUUUAAUAGGGUCAAGACAUGUCGUGUUCAUGAUCUAAUGCGAGAAAUCAUUCAAAUGAAAUCCAGGGAAGAAUCUUUUGUUAUGAUAGCAAACGGAACAAGAAUCAGCAAGAAUGAGAAAGUUCGGCGUCUAUCAAUCCAUGAGAACUCUGAGGAAGUACAAUCAGAUAUGAGAUUUCCUUAUCUGUGGUCUUUGUUGUCAUUUUCUUCACAUCAUUCUUUUGAGCACGGUUUUCGCAAUUACAAUCUGUUGAGAGUGUUGAAUUUAGAUCGAGCUCCCCUUUCCACCUUCCUACCUGAAUUGGUUGAACUGAUUCAUUUGAGAUACUUAAGUUUGAGAUGGACCAUGAUAAGUGAGCUUCCAGAGUCCAUAAGGAAGCUCAAGUACUUGGAAAUACUGGAUUUGAAAAGGAGUCCUGUAUCUUCUUUGCCUGCUGGGAUCACACAAUUGACAUGUCUUUGCCAGCUCCGUAACUAUCGAUACAUUUUCCAGUCCUCAUCGUUCUUCCCAGACACUCAUGGAAUGAGAGUUCCAUCAGGAAUAGGAAGAUUGACGAGCCUGCAGAAAUUGGGAAGGGUCGAAGUGAAUGAAGAUUAUGAGUUAGUCAGGGAGUUGGGAAAGCUAACUCAGUUGAGAAGGCUGGGCAUUUUAAAGCUAAGAGAAGAGCAGGGAAUGGAUCUCUGUUAUACUUUGGACAGGUUGAAACACCUUACUGCAUUGUAUCUUGUUUCACUAAACAACACUGAAUUCUUACAAUUUGACUCUCUUUCAUCUCCUCCAAAAUAUCUCCAACGACUAGAUCUCAAAUGUAGUCUUCCAGCUUUACCAGGAUGGAUAGCUUCACUCCAGUAUAUUUCCAAUUUUCUAAUUUGAAAUGUGAUCCUCUCAAGGUCCUCCAGAAAUUGCCUAGUUUGGUGAUGCUUGAACUCCGUCAAGCUUAUGCAGGGGAAGAACUUUGUUGUGAUCCUAGUGGAUUUUCAAAGCUGAAGAGGCUAGGUCUCCAUGAACUGGAGAGAUUGCGGCGCAUCAGAAUAGCAAAGGGAUCAAUGCCUGGGUUAGAGAGGCUAGACAUCACAGCAUGCACGGUGCUAGAAACUGUGCCGGAUGGGAUUGAAAACCUGAAAAAUAUAGGAGACCUGGUUCUGUGGUAUAUGCCUUCAACGUUCAUCAAGACAAUAGAGAGCUACCGUGGUGAAGAUUUCUGGAGAGUUCAACAUAUCAGAACAAUCACCCGUAUCUACGAGAGCCAGGGGAGACGGGUCUCUGAAACUCUUCUGUAAUUAGAGGGGUUAACUACGGAGAGAAUACAGUUUCCGGAAAAUUAUAAUCUCUGUCAAGUUCCUCAGGUAAUGCUGAGCCUCAGAAAACAGAAAACUGCUGCUCUUCCCUCCUCUUCUCUGCUCCUUUGUCUCUGUUUUGCUGUUGUUGAAUCUUCCAACCUGCUAUCUUGCCCAUGUUUUAUAAAUUCAUUUUGAUGGGAUAGAGAUUGAUGCAGUGGAAUCUUGACUUCACAGGUCUACGAAGAAGAAAAACAAGUGCUACUGGAUGAUGAGAUUAAAAGACUUGUCAGAAAAUCAAAUCAAUCUUGACUUCACAGUUGUAGUAUUAUUAGUUUUUAAAAUUUUUAACCGUGUCAUCUAAUUGAAUGAUUAUACAGAGGUCCGAUGGCAUGAUGUUGGACAGAUUACGAAAACUAACCACUAGAAAACCGCAGCAUAAUAGUUGCGAUUCUUCAAUGAAGUAAAACCACCUGCGUCGCCAGUAAGGAUUUAUGUGCAUAAUAGUUGCGAUUGACAACAUCAUAAUUUUUUUUUGGUUAAUAGUAAAAAUUUUAUUAAAAAAAAACUACAAAGAUAAUAGCCUAACUUCCAUCAAAUAAACAAGCAGUGGAAAGAAAAACACAAUACUGUUACAUAAAACAAGAGAGAGCAACAAAAAAGGGAACAAACAAAUCAUAAGAAACCAACUCCUCCCGACUAAACAUUCUUUAUAUUAAGCUUUAAAGAGUUGGAAUCAAGCCUCAGCCAUAAAGCAAUACUUUGGAGCACCAUGGAGAAACAUAUUUGAAGGUUAGGGGCAACGUCAUUAAAAAUAACAUCAUUUUGGUGAAGCUAAAAAUUCCAAACAACACAUGAGAAAAGAAGUUGUCAUGAGAGAUUUUGCUGCUUGCCUUUAACCAUAGAAAACUAUUGGUAGCACAUAUCAUCAACAGAUUUUGGAAAAACACUGUAAAAGCCCCGAUUAGAAAGCAGUUUCAUCCAUAUAUUUCAAGUGAAGUGGCAGUGAAUGAAGAGGUGACUUGAAGAUUCCAAGCUUUUAUUGCAUAAAGCGCAUUCUGACUCCUGAAAGGUGAGGUAGUCAUGCUGAAAUAGAAAAUCUCUUGUGGUUACUUUGUCUUCGACAAGGAGCCAAAGGAAAAGUUGCACUUUUGGUGGGUUUAGUUUUAUCCAAACAGAAGAUUGGAAUGGUUCGGUACCAUCAUAGAGCAGCUGGUCCAUCAUUUUGGAGCAAGAUUUUACAUUAAAAAGGCCAUCGUUGUUGAGGAUCUAGAUUUUCUUAUCCAUCUUGUAACAGAAUAUUGGCUUAGAUUCCAGCAAGGAUGAUAAAAGUCAUGGAAAUGGACAAAGUGUGUUAUAAAUAGGACCUCUAUAGUUGCCUAAACUCACAUAACGAACAACAAUAUUCUACAAACUGUAGUGCUUCAUAGAAUUAUCUAAGAUUUCUGCUCUCUCUUCAUAUUUCUAUCUUCCACCAAAUCUGGGUUUGCUCAGAGUCUGUUCCACAAUGUUAGAUUUAUUUCUGAACUCUCAAGAUUUUCUUGUUUAAUUUUGUGUUUCCUCUUAAUUUAAUAAAAAUGCACAUGGUUUUAUUACUGUUGUAACCCAAUUUUGGAUUCACCAAGUUUUUCUCGAAUGUUAUUUUAUUUCUAUUAUUAUUUAUAAAAAUCCAAAAAAAUAUAAAAAAAAGUUUAAAAUGCAAAAAAAUAUUUUUUCUCGAGUCAACCGCGUCUUUCCAUCAAAACCAAGUUCACUGGGUCAAUACGGGUCAAACCAUGUUGACUAGGGUAAAAAAUGAGUUUUUGGGCUGUUUCGGGUCAAAACCAUCAUUUUCGACCAAAACCGAGUUCACUGGAUCAAUACGGGUCAAACCAUGUCGAUCAGGGUAAAAAAUAAGUUUUUGGGUUGUUUCAGGUCAAAACCGUCAUUUUCGACCAAAACCGAGUUCACCAGGUCAAUAUGGGUCAAAACCGUCAUUUUCGACCAAAACUGAGUCCACUAGGUCAAUACAGGUCUAACCAUGUCGACCGGGAUGAAAAAUGAGUUUCAGGCUGUUUUAGGUCAAAAUCUAUUAUUUUAUGUCAAAACCCGGUCCACUGGGUCGAUACCCAUUGAAAGUGUUUUUUUUUUUUUUAUGUUUUGACAUAAUUUUUAGUAAUUAAAAUUGAUUUUUAGCGGUUGAGUCAGGCUUUUUUCUAAUACUGAUUUGAGUUUUUAAUUUUACCUAUAUAAUUAUUUAUUAUUACAUAUAAUAAAACAAAAUUAAUAAUAUAAAAUUUGUAAUAUUAGGUGGUGCAUUUCAACGAUUGUAGGCAGCGUAUUUUUUCUGACAACUAUUGUAAGAAGCCUAAUUUUGCCGAUACCAUGGUAGGCGUUGUUGGCGAUUUGUCCCCUGUCACUGGCUAUGGCUAUAAAUAGCCAGCGAUAAUUCGACACAGGGGAAGGGAGGCAGAAAAGAAGUGAAAGAAUUGAUUUAUAUUUGCCACUAUUCAUUUUUUCUUGUUUUUCUUCGGGAGAGUAAGAUAUAUUUUUUUAAAAAAAACAAUUUGAAAAAUACCAAACAUAUCCCAACAAAUCUCAGCAGUUGAAAUAAUCUGAGAUUGGAUCCCGUUGCGCCACGUCACCCGAUGUACCGAGCUUUCGGUGCACCGCGCUACACCGAAUCAAAACCCAGACAAUCCGGGCCGUCCAAUCAACCUGCAGAUCAAGCCAAUCACAGCCAUCCAAUCAUUUCAUCCGAGAUCCAACGUCAUAUAGAGUUCAGCGGUACAGGUGUAUCGUGCAUGCGUUCACACCAUAGCGUGACUCAGAGCUUCUCUCUCUUCUUCCUGGCGACUCCCUCUCCCUCAUCCGAUCUCCACUUUCCGCCCAUCUCAAGCCUCCGCACCACCACAGAACGGUUGAUCCACUGGUUUAAAGCAAAACCCCGGCGAUUUUAACCGUUUUUGCCGCCUCAUCUGGCCGGAAAAAGGCCAUGAUCCUCGCAGGCCACCGAAGCUUCAAGUCGACGAUUCUCCCUCGUCAGCUAUCAACGAUCAUCGAGACCACCACCAUCAGAAUCCUCUCCAUGAGAUCUACCAAAAUCAACCAUUGAUUGGUCGUAAAGCUCGCCAGAAAGUUUCACCGCCACCAACAGUAACCGCGCGUGAGCCACACGCGCCGCCAGUGGCAUUUUUGUGAUUUUCCAAGAAAUCCGAGGGUAUUUCAGUCUGUUACCUAUACAGGGGCAUUCAGGUAAAUGUUUUGAGAUUCCUAACAUUUUUUUAUAUAAAUAUUUGUAAAUUUGCUUGCAUGUUGUAAAACAAGAAAAACAAAAAAAACAAAAACAAGUAUAAAAAGAAUAACGACACGGGUCCAACACCCAUCCUAUCAUGUUAUCGUUCGUGGGUUCCAAGCCCAAUUCUCGAAUAUGAUUAUACCCAUUUCUCAACGAUAUCAAAAUAUUUUUAUUUUAUAAACGAAUAUUGUUCGUCAACACGUCUCUUUUUUUACAGAAAAGGACCGAUGUCAAAAAGUUAAAAUACCAAAUAUGGAUUAUGUCCAUAGUUUUUUGGUAACUCAGACGUAUUUCUCAUUUUUAGGGUUAAACGUCAAUAUUUUAGACAAGUUUCCUAUUUUUUAGGAACUGAUGUCAUUUUUUUAACGUGUCUCCUACGAACGUUGUUUGUCGACACGUCUCUUUUUACAGAAAAAGACCGAUGUCAAGGAUAUUUAUACUAAAUAUGGAUUAUGUCCAUUUUUUUUUCUUUUGGUAACUCAAACGUAAAUCUUCUUUUUAGGGUUAAACGUCAAUAUUUUAGACAAGUUUCCUAUUUUUUAGGAACUGAUGUCAUUUUUUUAACGUGUCUCCUAAUUUUAGGGACCGACGUUAACUAUUUUAUUAAAAAAAACAAAAUUGCAAAUAAGCUCAAAAUAUAAUAACAUUUGAAUCAAAUAUAAAAACACACAAGUAAGGGUAACCUUUUUUUUGAAAGGAUGUUUUAAGGGUGAUGUCUACCUUCCCUUAAUCAUAACUAACCUAGUAUCUGAAUCUUUGAGACCAGUGUCUAAUUUAGGAUUUUUAAUUCCCUCAAAUUACUAGAUGGUGACUCUAAUAAAAUCUUUAUUUCCCCCAAUAAAAAAUUCUUUUGUUAAAAAAAUAACAAAAAGAGUGGAACCAUCGCCCGACGUCGUGUAUCGACAAUUACUAUAAUGAUGAGAAUCAAUAGAGUCUUGCAUUUGAAAUUAGACCCUACAAUCUAACCUCUUAAUUAGCUGUUGAGAUUGUUACAUAACAAAAUAGAACAAUCCCCUGUUUCAUGAUGUUCUUGGAUCCUUUCUCCUCUAAAUUAUCCAUUUAUCAUGCUUUUAUUCAAGUUGAAUUUGAAGUCUUGGAUUGUUAGGGUGGCAUCGUUUUCCAACAUGCCUUAAUUUCUUCCGCAAGGAAAUCAUUAGGAAAGUACUGGUUGGUGCUAUGCAACCGCAUCAGUUCCACCAUCGUCGCUAUACAAUUCAGGCGUACACGUUUCAACUUUUGACUAUUUUAUAAAUUCAUUGUUUACACUCAAUGGAGCUUAUUAAUGGCAAUUAAUGGUGAGUUCAUUAACAUUUUUAAUUUUGAUUUGAUGAUGAAGUGCCCUAAUAGUCAAUGUCAAGGUCUCAAAAUAGAUAAAUGUAAUUUUUAUAUAUAAUGUAUUUAGUUCUUAUUUUAGCUAUAAUUGAGCAAAGAAAAUUCAUUGAUACAAAUAAAUUUCAUUGCCUAAUUAAGUUUGAUGUGGUAUGUUUGGCUGAUGAGUUGAUUGGCUAGAUUAAUAAUAAUAAUAAAAAAAAAAAUCCAAAAAACAAGUUUAAAAAAUGCACCAAAAAAUGGAACACCGCAAGUUAAGUAUCGGCGUCCACGACAUUUUACGCUUUAAUUCUAACAUGUAAGAUAUGAAGCAACGCCAUGCUUGAAAAGAAAUCUGAAAAAAGCCCCCGGACAUAUAAGAUAUGAAACUUGUCAAAAACAAUCAUAAUUUUAGAUUUAACCAUUGAAUUGUGCUCUAAUUUUAUUAGAUGAUUCUGUUUUCUGUUUUUUUUUUUAAAAGUAUCCUGUUUGUAAGCAAUGAUAUAUAUAAUGGAAGGAUUACUCCAAAAAAGUGACAUGAUGAAGCGUGUGUACCAUGAUUUAUGCGUACGUGUUGUUUGGUACGUAUGUUUUCUGCUUCUUCUUUUUUUAGUUUUAUUCUUCUUCUUUUUUUUGUGUUUUUUUCUUUAAUUAGAUUAGCAUUGGUUUAUUUAAUAAUCUAAUAGACUCAAGUGUUGUUUUUUUUUAAUUAUUUAUUUAUUUAAUGUUAUUGUUUUUUUAUAUAUUAUUUAAAUUAUUCCUUGAACGAAUGACUUGAAACUUGAAUUUUUAUUAACCUGUCAUUUUUUUAAAUAAAAAAAUUAAAUUGUUCAGCCUGGCAAAGCACGGAGAGCAUAUCUAUGAAACCAUUAUCUUCUUGUUCAUUAUUAGGCACCUGCUGCAAUUGCGAGUCUGUUUCACUGCAACUUCGCAACGGAGGUCUACAACGAAAAACAAGUGAAAGGGUUGUGUGUGACAGCUGGGUCCUAUAAGCUAGAAGGUUGGGAUAAAGAGCAUUUUAAUUGCUGUAACUGGGAUUAUAGGGUUGUGUGUGACAACACCACAAACCGAGUGAUCCAACUACAUCUUUCAGAUGUAAAUUAUGAUUAUCUCAAUGCAUUCCAAGACUUGGAUCUCAAUGCCUCUUUCGUCCAAUCAUCUCUUCAAAAUUAUAUUUUGAUCUUUAAACUUUAAUCUUUUUAAUUUAAAGUUUAAAUUGACUUUAAAAUUAAUUUUUUUAACAAUCAUACCCUUUAUAAAUUCAAUUAAACUUUCAAUAAAAUUUAAUUAAAUCCAUAAACAUUUGAUUUUGAAUUUUAUUUUUUAAAAUUAAAUUUUCUUUGUCAGCAGAGUUUUCAUCAGUAAAAAAAUAUACUGUCAAAUUUUAAUUUUUAUAUUUUUAAACCUCCUCAACUAAUUUUUAGCUAUUUUUUGAACACUUUGAUAUCCGCUUCUCACUGCUAUUAUUUUUUGUUUUCUUUCAAAUAUAUUUUUUUGUGAGAAAACCCAAAAAUAGAUAACAAGAAACUGAAUAAAAGAACAAACCCUAAUUAUUAUUAUAAUUAUUUUUUGUAUUAAUUGGAGCACAUUAUAUAUAUAUAUAUAAGAAAUUGUGAUUUUUUUAUCAAAUUUCUGAAUUUCUCCAAAAAUUUUAAAAUUUUAACCCAAGCUAAAACAUUAUAUUAGAAGGCUUCACGUAAAUUUUUAGAAUUUUUUGAUACCUCAAUUAAGAAUUACAAAUUUUCUUUAUAUAAAACUAAUAAAAAAAAUAUUAAUAAAAUCUUGAACUGAACUAGAACCUACCCUAGCUGAUACAUGCCUCCACCCUUGGGUGCAGUAAGAAGAAAUUAUUGAUAAUAGAAAUCAUUUUCUAAUCUCUUCUGCCAUGUAUUUCAUAAGAUCAAAUCAAUUGUUCAUAUACAGCACCUGACUUCCCAAAGUCUAUGAAGAAAAGUAAAGCAAUAAACAAGAAGUUGGAAUAUCCUUUAAUCCAACACCACAAACCGAGCGAUCUGUGCCGUGGUGCGGGCCCCCUGGCUAGCACUGUCCGUGAAGAUUCUCCCAUUCAAUGAAGCCCAAGUCUCCCUUGGAUAAUUAAUUCAGCAUAGAAAAUUCAAUGAUACAGAUAAUUGGGAAUCUUGACCGACUUCACAAGUCUGCCAAGAAAAAAAAAAAAAAUUGAAAGUGGAUGAUGAAGGUACUGGGAAAUCACUUCAUUCCAUGAAAAAAGUUAAGGAAGAAAUUUUUUGAUUCCACAUUAUUUCCAUGUCUAUAAGAGAAAGCAAAGUAGUUUACGCAAUAAAUUGGCGGAAUUGAUAUUAACAUAUCAAAAUAAUUUGACAACACUAAAAAUAUAUUAAUUUGGAGUUAAUAAAAAAUUAAAAAAAAAAAAUUUAUUUAAAAAUACUUUUAAAACACAAAAAUAAACAUCCAUGAAAACUUAAAUUAAAUGUUCAAACAAAUGACUUCCCAAGUCUAAGAAGAAAAAAGAAAGAAAGAAGCAAAGUAGCCUAAAGGAACACCCUGUUCCACAAGCUUGAAGAAAAAUAUUAAACUAAUGAAGAAAAGUAAAGCAGUAAACAAGAAGUUGGAAUUAAUAUCCUUUAAUCCAACACCACAAACCGAGCGAUCUGUGCCGUGAAGACUCUCCCAUUCAACGCAGCCCAAGUCUCCCUUGGAUAAUUAAUUCAGCAUAGAAAAUUCAAUGAUACAGAUAAUCGUCACUGUCCGAUCAAAUGCAUUAAUUAUGACGUGUAAACAAAUACAUUUAUGAACCAAAAUUGAAAAGAUUAAGCUUGAAAAGAAAUCCGUCACCACAUGGAUCUUUUCAAAUUAAGUCUAAACGAUUCUGUUUUUGUUAUUUUAAUUAUUUUUUUAGAUAAUUUUGUAUUUUAAUUUUUUUCCUCACUUAAUUGUAAAAUCUUUUAAUUAGAUCGGUUUUAAACUUUUAUUUCAACAAUUGGAGUCGGUUAGAGUUAGUUAACAAUAAAAUAAAUGGUAGGAGAAUUAUGUAAGAGUCACGCAAGAAAUAACAGAAUCAUUCUCCUCUCAUUUAUUUCUCUGUUUUCCUCCUGCUUCAUUUUGUUAAGCCAAGCUUAACAGAUGAUUAUAUUAUGAAGCUCGUAAUUGAUGGUUUUAUUUAUUUAUUUUUUGUAAGCCAUUGAUAAUGAUUUUUUUUUUCAUUUUUUCCUUUCUUCGAUCAAAUUCGUUUUGAUGAUGUGGAUUAUAGGAAUCUUGACUUCCCAAGUCUAUGAAGAAAAGCAAAGCAGUAAACAAGAAGUUGGAAUUGAUAUCCUUUAAUCCAACACCACAAACCGAGCGAUCUGUGCCGUGGUGCGGGCCCCUGGCUAGCACUGUCCGUGAAGACUCUCUCAUUCAAUGCAGCCCAAGUCUCCCUUGGAUAAUUCGGCAUAGCAAAUUCAAUGAUACAGAUAAUUGUCACCGUCCGAUCAAAUGCAUGAAGAGGACAAAAUUCUAUAUAAGAGACAGCUUUUGCUUGCUUUUGUAUUUUGUCAAGUAGGAGCGUUAAUAUGAAGACGAGGCAAAUGUGGGUGUGGAUGCUGCUCAUGGCACUGGCCUUCCUCAACGACCGGAGCCAUUGUUGUUUGGACGAAGAGAGAAUUAGUCUCUUAGAGAUAAAAGCUUGGUUCUAUCAUGCAGGUGCAGCUGUGUCCUAUCAGCUACAAGGUUGGGAUAAAGAGCAUUUUAAUUGCUGUAACUGGCAUAGGGUUGUGUGCGACAACACCACAAACCGAGUGAUCGAACUAGAUCUUUUUAAUGUAAAUUAUGACGGUCUCAAUGCAGUCGAAGACUUGUAUCUCAAUGCGUCUUUGUUUCUGCCUUUCAAAGAACUGGAGAUUCUCGACUUAAGAGACAACCAAUUAGUUGGUGGCUUAAAGAACCAAGGUUCUAUGCUUUCAAUUUUCUUUUAGAUAACACAUAAAGUUACUUUUAUUUCAAGUAACUUUACAUUGAAUCUUUAUGGAUAUUGGGAUGGUUGAUAUAUAAAUCUGUUAAUUGUCUUUGCUUCUGACAAUCUUCUUUCAGGUUUUCAAGUCCUAGCUUCAGGAUUGAGGAAUUUGAAAGAACUUUAUCUAACUUACAAUAAAUUGAACGACAGCAUUUUAUCAUCUUUCAGUGGUUUUUCAACUCUCAAAUCUCUAGAUCUAUCAGCCAAUAGGUUCACAGGAACAAUUGAUCUCAAAGGUAAAGUUAUAAAUCAUUCCUACCUCGCGUGACAUUCCUUAGUAUGCUUAAUUUAUUCUUUAGUAAACUUGUCUAAUAAUAGAAAAAAAUUACGCACGUAAGAAAUAACAGAAUCAUUCCUUUGUUUUCCUUCUGCUUAACAGAUGAUUAUAUUACAAUACACAAAAUGGAUACUUCCACUUUAUAUGUCAUAUGUUAGAAUUCAUGAAUAUUUGGUUAUUAAAAUAUUGAUAUAAUGUCAAAAAAUUAACACAAAAAUUUAUAUUUCAUUGAAUUUAUAUGGAUAUUGGGAUGGUUGAUAUAUAUAUAUAUAUAUAUAUAUAUAUAUAUAUAUAUAUAUAUAUAUAUAUGCUAAUUUCUUUGCUUCUGACAAUUUUCUUUCAGGUUUUCAAGUGCUAGUCUCAGGGUUGAGGCAAUUAGAGGAACUUGAUUUAAGUUACAAUAAAUUUGACGAUAGCAUUCUAUCAUCUCUUAGUGGAUUUUCAACUCUCAAAUCUUUAAAUCUAUCAGGCAACACGUUCACAGGAUCAACUGGUCUCAAUGGUAAACUUAUAAAUCAUUCCUACUUUGGAUGCCAUUCCCUCGUGAGAUUUAAUAAUUACAUGUGUAUUAACCCUUAAGUAAUUUUUUGGAUGAAGCCUUAAAAAGGCUUUAUAUAAUUAAUUCUUUAACGAGUGAAAUAAUUUGAAACUUACAUAUACAUGCUAUUAAUUUUUGUUCAAUUUCUUAAUUUAUUUUUAAAUAAAUGAAGGUGAAUAUUUAAUUAACAAAAUUUUAAUAUCAUAUUAAAAAUUAUUUUAAUUUUAAAACUUAAGCUAUGUAUAUUAACUCUAACAUUAUAAAUUAUUUAAAUAUUGUAAAUAAUUAUUAUUGAUUGUUCUCUCUAUCACAGGUUUAAGGAGAUUAGAAACCUUGUAUCUGGAUUCAACUGACUUCAAGGAAAGCGUUUUGAUAGAGUCAUUGGGAGCGUUGUCAUCCCUCAAGACCUUAUAUGCCAGUGGUAGUAAGUUUACACACUUUAGGAAAGGUCAGUGACAGUUUUGAUGCCUAAAACAAUGUGAUAUUUAUAAUAUAUUGAUGGAUUUAUUUGAUCUGUUCCACAGGGUUGUGGAAUUCGACUAGCCUUGAAAAAGUGUCCCUCGGUUAUUCUUCUCUCCCAGCAAGCUUUCUUAGGAACAUUGGACCCUUGUCUACUCUUAAAGUCUUGUCCUUGAACGGAGUUGACUUCAAUAGCACCCUACCUGCCCAAGGUAAUUAAAAUCUAAUCUUUAUACAAAUCCAUGGAAGAACAAUUAAAGAACCUCCUUCAAUUCAAAUAACAUUGUUCAUUAAUAUUUGUGUUAUAGAAAAGGAUAAAAUCUAGAGUUUUUCAAUCUUAAAUUAUAGAAAAAACUUUGAGUAAAAAAAGUUAUGAAUAUCAAUAAUCUAGAUAAUUAAUCUCUAAAAAAACUAACAAACAAAGUUGUUUAAAUAAAAUCUAAAACCGACAUAGCUAAUGAAACAAAAAUCAACUAAAACUUUAAAACCUCACUAAGCAAUUACAUAAUUCAUAUAUUCAUAUUCCCUUAACAUGAACAUAUGAAUAUAUUCUCCAGGUUGGUGUGAACUGAAGAAUCUUGAACAUCUAUUUCUCUCGGGAAACAAUCUAAAGGGCGUACUCCCUCCUUGUUUUGGAAAUCUAUCAUUUCUACAAUUCUUGGAUUUAUCUGACAAUCAAUUGGAGGGAAAUAUUGCUUUUAGUCACCUUUCCCAUCUUACGCAGCUCAGAUACCUCAAAGUUUCAAAUAACUACUUUCAAGUUCCAAUAUCAUUUGGUUCAUUUAUGAACCUCUCCAGCCUCAAGUUCAUUGAAUGCGAUAACAAUGAGCUAAUAGCUGCACCUAGUUUUCAGCCUUCAGCUCCCAAGUUCCAGCUUCUUUUCUUUAGUGCUUCAAAUUGUACUCCAAAACCACUCGAGGCUGGAUUUCCAAACUUCCUCCAUAGCCAACAUGAUUUGGAGUUUGUUGAUCUAUCCCACAACAAGUUCGUUGGAGAACCUUUCCCAUAUUGGCUGUUUGAGAAUAAUACAAAGUUAAAUCGACUAUAUUUGAGAGACACCUCAAUUACAGGUCCUUUGCAGCUGCCACAACAUCCAACACCCAACCUUCACACAGUAGAUAUUUCUGGCAACACCAUACAUGGUCAAAUUGCAAGGAACAUAUGUUUGAUUUUUCCACGUUUGAACAACUUCAUGAUGGCUAACAACAGCCUCACAGGUUGUAUUCCUCCUUGUUUUGUUUUGGGAAUAUGAGCUCUCUCAGAUACUUGGAUCUUUCCAACAAUCAUAUGUCUUGUGAACUGCUUGAGCAUAAUUUGCCAACAAAGGGCUCCUUGUGGUUUUUGAAGCUGUCCAAUAACAACUUCAAUGGGCGAUUACCACCAUCUGCGAUCAACAUUACUUACCUAUUUUACCUCUUUCUAGAUGGAAACAAAUUUACAGGACAAGUAUCUGAUACCUUUUCUCUUGCAUCACUUUUGUGGUUUGAUAUCAGUAACAAUCUUUUGUCAGGCAUGCUUCCAAGGGGAAUGGGGAACUCUUCAAAAUACCAUCUUAAGGGAAUUGAUUUGUCCAGAAAUCAUUUUGAAGGUACCAUUCCAAAAGAAUAUUUCAAUUCUUAUAUGCUUGAAUUUUUAGAUCUUUCUGAAAACAAUCUGUCUGGGUCAUUGCCGUUGGGCUUCAAUGCAUCAUGGUUACGCUAUGUCCACCUUUACAGAAAUCAAUUGAGCGGUCCAUUGCCAUAUGACUUUUAUAAUCUCUCUUCGUUGGUGACAUUAGAUCUCGACGAUAACAACUUAACUGGGCCCAUUCCAAAUUGGAUUGAUAGCCUUUCUGAAUUGAGCAUUUUUGUUCUCAAAUCUAAUCAAUUCAAUGGGAAACUUCCUCAUCAGUUAUGCUUGUUAAGGAAAUUAAGCAUAUUGGAUCUUUCAGAAAAUAAUUUUUCUGGUCUGUUACCCUCAUGUUUGAGCAAUUUAAAUUUUACGGCAUCGGAUGAAAAAACUUUGGAUCCCCCUCGUACGGGGAUACUAAAUGGUGGAAUAAUCCGGGAAGAAAUAUUUGCAUCCAUAGGGGGAAGAGAAUUGGAAAACGAAGGUUUUUAUCCUGAUGACGAAGUUUUGUGGCCAGAGUUCAGUGUAAAAAUAGCUGUAGAGCUUACAUCAAAGAAAAAUUUCUACACUUACGAAGGCGAUAUCCUUCGUUACAUAUCUGUUAUGGAUCUUUCUUGUAACAGAUUCACUGGAGAAAUCCCGACAGAAUGGGGAAACUUAAGUGGGAUAUAUGCUCUAAAUCUGUCACAAAAUAAUCUCACUGGAUUGAUCCCUCCAUCUUUCUCCAAUCUGAAGCAGAUAGAGAGCUUGGAUCUUUCACACAACAACUUGAAUGGGAGAAUUCCUGCACAACUCGUUGAACUGAACUUUCUAGCAGUUUUCAACGUGUCGUACAAUAAUUUGUCAGGAAGAGCACCGGAGAGGAAAUAUCAAUUUGCUACCUUUGAUGAGAGCAGUUAUAAAGGGAAUCCUCUUCUUUGUGGACCUCCAUUGCAUGACAGUUGCGACAAAACAGAAUCACCAUCAGCAAGAGUGCCUAACGAUUCCAACGGAGAUGAUGGAUUAAUAGACAUGGACAGUUUCUAUGUCAGCUUUGGUGUGUUUUACAUAAUUGUGGUGUUGACAAUUGCAACAGUACUGUGCAUAAAUCCGCAUUGGCGACGCAGGUGGUUUUACUUCAUUGAAGAAUGCAGUGACACUUGCUAUUGCUUUUUGGCUAUAAACUUUCCCAAGUUGUCCAAAUUCAGAAGGUGAUUGGAUCUUAUCAGGAGCGUGUGGGUUGCUUUCUGAAUUUGUUGUACUCCUCUGUGGAGAAGCAGUCGUAUUCCAAAUCAAUGGUUUCUCACUGCAUGUUUAGCAAUUUGCCUGUGAGAAGUGAUAUGUGAAAGUGUUCUUGCUUAGCCUUUCUGUUUUGAUGUGACUUGUGUUUGUCCUUGUGCUUGUAUCCAUAUUUGUUUGUUUAUUUGUUAUGUCUUAAUUAUGUUGAGGAACCAACCAAUAUUUCUUGGCUUCUUGUGAUUUCUAUAGCUAUUUAAGCCUUACUUGUGGGCUAUUUUAAAUAUCAAGAGUUUAUUUCAGAUUUUUCUCUCCUGUUGGGUCUCUUUCAAGCCCAUUUUGCACUUAAUUUUGAAUUCUUUUAAUUAAAUCGGUUGUAAACUUUUAAAUCAACAAUUGGAGUAUUGUUUUAAGAUUAGAUUAUUUAAUUGUAAUUUUUCUGAAAAAUACGAGAGUUUUUUUUUCUUUAUUCCUCUAUAAUUUCAAGGCUAUAAGAGAACCUUAAUUCAUUCACGCCUCAUGAAAUUCAAUUUGGACAGUGGUGGUAUAAGGAAACGAAAAGGUUGUUAUAAAAAUUAAGAAUUUUGAAUGUUUCAUUUUAAAAUGGUUACUACUUUUUAAUUUCAGAUUGUUGAAUCUUCUGUUUGCUUCAAGCUUGAUGAUACAUGUCGAACGUCAAAAAUCCGCGCGGCGAUUUUCGCUUCGGUGAUUUUUCUUUUUCGUUCCUUUCGCUUUCGCUUGAUUUAGAGUCUUAAGAGUCGCCACCUAGUAUUUAUUGAGGGUUACUAAGAAACUCAAAUUUACUGGUCAUGGUCAAAGAUUCAAGGGUAAAGAACUGAUUGUGACUAGAAAAGGUAUUAGCAUCCCUAGCACACCCUACCUGAGAUAAACUGCUUUUGCAAUUUGAUACGGUUUGAAAAUUUAAAAUAUUAAUCAAAUUCUUAAGGCUUUAAUAAAUCAGUUAUUAAAUCUCAUUAUAUAUGUAAAAACUUAUUAUUAUAUUUUCAUAAAAAAUACAACUUGAUUUUAUUUGUGCUUUGAGAUAUUUAACCAUAUUCAAAUUAAACCAUAAAUUUUUGUCUUUUUGAUUUUUAUAAUUUAAUAACAUAAAUAAAUAAAAAUACAAAACACCCACUUCCACGUCACCUUUUACUAUGUUUUUCUGUUACAAUUUUUUACAACAUAACAUAAACUAAAAACAUUUAACAGCCAUUUUAAAUACAUAUAUUCAAACAUGUAAAAAUUACAAAAAAGGUCCCUAAAGAGCCCAGGAACUGCAGAGGAGGCCCUCAGGAACUGUGGAAGCAGUGCGGCGCGUCUGAUUCACGCGCUGCCGCGAAAAGACCGGCAGCAGGGGAGAUCCGAAACGGCUUCCUCCCCUCUUAAUUUUCCUCGCCGGCGGCGACCACGCUGUCACCUGCAAAACACCAAAACGCAACAAACAGUGAUUUUAGUUUUUCUUUUUCUUUUUCAGAUCUGUCUCGGUCUUCCUUCUUCCUCUUGAUUUUCUGCUCUUCCCUUCUUCUGGGUUCAGCGCCGCCGUUGCGUGUUGCCAUCUCUAUGGUUGAAGAUCGGAGAAGAAGCUGUCGUGGCCGGUGGCGCGUCAGCACACGUGACGAUGACACUCGGGGGGAAUCAACUCAAAGGACUGACCGCCGCUGCUGGCUGAGAUAGCGGUUCAGUGGCUGAUCUGCAGGCCGUCCAUGGCCACUGCCGUGCGUGGGGGCGGAGCUGCUACGGGGAGAAGAUUAGUGGCUGCUCUGGUUUGGGAGCAGAAGCUCCCGAUUCAAAACCUCAAGGCCAGGGGUUUCUCUUAAAUUUUUGUGAGAGAUUGGAAAUGGUGGCUCUUAUUCUGUGAGCUGGAGGAUGACAGAUCGGUGAAGACAGGGAAAGCUGGUUUGGGUAGUCCGUGGUUGGCUGGGGGAUCGGCUAUGGCUUUCUUUUUUCAAGGCUGAGGGCCGCCUGGCUUUUAUUGGCUGGGAGUUGGGUUUCCUUCGAGGGGCGGCUGCCUGUUGGCUGAGAGUGAGAGGGUUUUCAGCCGGGGAAAAUGGGGAGAGUGGACAGAGAAGGGAAAGGAAACCACCGUUGGAGGGGCGGCGGCGGCACUGCUCUUCAAAGGCCAGGGGUGGUUGAGUGUGAGAGGGUGAGGUUUUAGGGUAUUUUUCUUUUCUUUUUCCCGGGUCCCCCUGAAUAAAAAUUCUCCCCUCUCCCUCGUGAGUCAAUUUUUUUCCCGUCUCAAUUUCUCCCCCUUUUCUUAUUUGGACCAUUGUUUAGGUUUUCAAAAUAGUCUCCCAAUUUUUCUUUUCUUUUCUUUUCUUUUCUUAUUUUUUUUUGUAAAUUUUAAUUUUUUUUAUUUUUUUUUUGUAUUUUUAAAAGCGGGCAAUAUCAACGUCGACUCAACAAGAAAAAAUUAGUGAUUGGAAAAUUUACGCGUUAAAAGUUGAACGCGUUCAAAACUCUUAAAAAUUUAAAUUUUUUUGAGAUGACGUUGAAAAUGCUAAAAACAAUGCAAAUACAUCAAAAAUAUAUUUUUUAGGUUUUUUUUUUUUUGCUAUUUUUUAUUUUUUUGAAAAUUUAUAAAAAAAUAUAGGUCAAAAAUUGGAUAGCAACAAUAUAAAUUACUUGUUCCAAUCUUAUACUUGGCUCCUCCAAGCCUGAGAGGGAAUGUAAAGAUAUCAAAGGCUCUAGUCCUGCCACAUGUCAAAAGAUUAGAGAAUAAAAUGGUUAGAAUGUUGAUAGUAACUCUUAGUCUUAUUUGUCAGUUAAAAGAAUCAGUUAAUAUUAUUUAGUGAAGAAUAGAUAACAUGAAUAAGCUUCCUACUGUAGCAAUAUAUAAACCAAGCUGUUGAGAGUAUUGAAUUUAGAUCGAGCUCCCCUUUUCCAACUUCCUACCUGAAUUGGUUGAAAUGAUUCAUUUGAGAUACUUAAUUAAGUUUGAGAUGGAUCAUGAUAAGUGACCAUCCAGAGUCCAUAAGGAACCUCAAGUACUUGAAAAUACUUGAUUUGAAAGGGAGUCUUGAAUCUUCUUUGCCUGCUAGGAUCACACAAUUGACAUGUCUUUGCCAGCUCCGUAACUAUUAACACAGUUUCCAGUCAUCAUCGUUCUUCCCAAACUCUCAUGGAAUGAGAAUUCCAAUAGGAAUAGGAAGAUUGACGAGCCUACAAAAAUUAGGAAGCGUUGAAGUGAAUGAAGAUUAUGAGUUAGUUAGGGAGGUGAGAAAGCUAACUUAGUUGAGAAGGGAAUGGAUCUCUGUUAUACUUUGUGUUGCUUCUCAUUUUUUUUAUCCUCACACAAAAAAGAAAAAAAAGUGAAGAAAUAAAAAAAAAACAUCAAAAGAAAACAAAAAUAUAUAAAAGUAAAACAACGAUAUAGGGAAGCUCAAAAAAUGAUCAAAGAUUAGUUAUGGAAGUUCAAAAAUAUAAAAAUUGAAAUUGAACAAUAUGUUUUCAAUUCAAUUGAAGGAAGAAAAGUUUAAAAUCAAAUGUUUAAAGACUCAAUUAGAUUUUGUUGAAAGAUUAAUUGAGUUUAUGAAGGGUUAAAUUGCAAAAAAAAAUUGAUUUUUAAGUCAAUGUUUCCUUCAAUUUGAAGAAAUUAAAAUAUGGGGGUCGUAUUACAAUUUUUAAGAGUUAGUUUGGUCAAAUCAAGGGCUUAAUUGCAUAAACAUUGAAACUUGAUGGCACUUAGGGACUUGAUUAAAGAAAACCAAAACUAAGGACCAAACUAGAAAAGACACAUAAAUAUAAGGGAUGGAAUUAACCAAAUCAAGGGAUAAAUUGAAGAAAUUGAAAAUUUGUUGAUCAAUUAAGGGUCAAAAUACACUAAUUCAAAACCAAUAACCAAAGUGAAAAGAGCAGUCAACUUCAGGGCUAGCUUUUGAAUUUGACAAGGAUGUAAUUGAAUUGAUUCUUAAAAUUAAAAUCUCAACUGAGGGCUUGAUUAAAUAAAUUGAAAAUUAAGGACUGAUUUGGAAACAAAAGCUUUCUAGCGCUAUUUUUUUUUAAAUGAAACAACGAGUUUCGUUCAAAACAAUGUCGCUUCAUUCAUUAUUCACAUUAAAAAAAAUAGAGAGAAAACAGUGUCAUUUUGUACGUAUAUCUUCUCCCCUUCCCAUGGACACACUACAAGCAAGGGAAGAAGAAGAUUGUUCCCUCACUUCCCUUGCAGCGCCACUCUCCCUCUCUCCUAAAAACCAACAAGACCCACUACCCCUGGCUAGCACUGUCCGUGAAGACUCUCUCAUUCAAUGAAGCCCAAGUCUCCCUUGGAUAAUUAAUUCAGCAUAGAAAAUUCAAUGAUACAGAUAAUUGUCACUGUCCGAUCAAAUUAACGCGUGAAGAGGACAAAAUAGUAUAUAAGAGACAGCUUGCUUGCUUUUGUAUGUGGUCAAGUGGAGCGUUAUGAAGAUGAGGCAACUGUGGGUGUGGAUGCUGCUCAUGGCACUGUCCUUCCUCAACGAGCGGUGCCAUUGUUGUUUAGAAGAAGAGAGAAUUAGUCUCUUAGAGAUAAAAGCUUGGUUCUAUCAUGCACGUGCAGCUGGGUCCUAUGAUCAGCUAGGAGGUUGGGAUAAAGAGCAAUAUUUUGAUUGCUGUAACUGGCAUAGGGUUGUGUGUGACAACACCACAAACCGAGUGAUCGAACUACAACUUUCAGGUGUAAAUUAUGAUGGUUUCAAUGCAGUCGAAGUCGACUUGGAUCUCAAUGCGUCUUUGUUUCUGCCUUUCAAAGAACUGGAGAUUCUCGACUUAAGCGCCAACCAAUUAGUUGGUGGCUUAAAGAACCAAGGUUCUAUGCUUUCAAAUUAUGAUGGUUCUCACACACACACAUAUAUAUAUCUGGUAAUUGUCUUUGCUUCCGACAAUUUUCUUUCAGGUUUUCAAGUGCUACCUUCUGGGUUGAGGAAUUUGGAAGAACUUGAUCUAAGGGACAAUAAAUUUAACGACAACAUUUUAUUAUUUUUUAGUGGAUUUUCAACUCUCAAAUCUCUAGAUCUAUCAGGCAAUAUAUUCACAGGAUCAACUGAUCUCAAUGGUAAAGUUGUAAAUCAUUCCUACCUCUAAUGGCAUUCCUUAAUGAAGCUUAAUUUAUUCUUUAGUGAAUUUGUUUAAUAAAUAGAUGUGUAUUAACCAUUAACUUUUGUUCAAUUUUUAAAAUUUUAUUAAAGGAAUGGAGGUGAUAUGUUAGAAUUCAUGAACAUUUGGUUAUUAAAAUAUUGAUAUAAUGUUAAAAAAUUAACACAUAAAUUUAUAUUUCAUUGAAUUUAUAUGGAUUGGGAUGGUUGAUAUAUAUAUAUAUGUUAAUUUUUUUGCUUUUGACAAUUUUCUUUCAGGUUUUCAAGUGCUAGCUUCAGGGUUGAGGAAUUUGGAGGAACUUGAUCUCAGAAACAAUAAAUUUAUCGACAACAUUUUAUUAUCUCUCAGUGGUUUUUCAUCUCUCAAAUCUCUAGAUCUAUCAAACAAUAACUUCACAGGAUCAAUUGGUCUCAAUGGUAAAGUUGUAAAUCAUUCCUAUCUCGAAUGGCAUUUUUUCUCGUGUAUUAACUCUUAAGUUGUUGCCUUAAAAAGGCUUUAUAUAAUUAAUUCUUUAAUGCAUUUUUUAAGUGAAAUAAUUCUGCGUUUGAAACUUAUGUAUGCUACUAAUUUUUCUUAAAGUUGUAAAUCGUUACUACUAAUGUUGGUUGAAUUUUUUAAUUUUUUGAAAAUAAAUGAAGGUGAUACGAGUAUUAAUUAUUAAAAUUUUAAUAUUAUAUUAAAAAUUAUUUUAAUUUAAAAACUUAAGCUAUGUCUUGUAACAUUAUAAAUUAUUUAAUUAUUAGUGAUGGUUCUCUCUGUCACAGGUUUAAGGAAUUUAGAAAUCUUGUAUCUGUAUUCAAAUGACUUCAAGGACAGCGUUUUGAUAGUCAUUGGGAGCGUUGCCAUCCCUCAAGACCUUAGAUGCACGUUUUAGUAAUUUUAUACACUUUGGGAAAGGUCAGUGACAAUUUAAUUUGGUGCCUAAACCAAUAUGAUAUUUUAUAAUAUAUUGAUGGAUUUAUCUGAUCUGUGCCACAGGUUUGUGGAAUUCGAAGUGACAGUGUUUUCUUGAUCAUAUCCAGACUCAUUUGCAGGUGGUUUAUUUUUAAUUCAGCAUGUGCCCAGGACCCUUCAAUCCAUUGAGCCUUCCUCUCUUGCAACUUGUUCCUUGUAGCCAGUUGCAACUUCAAAAGAUUAUUAAGACGCAUAUCCAUCUGCCGUUUAAGUUUUUCGAACUCUUUUGCAUAUACAUUAUCCAGCAUCUUAAUAGGGUGUUUAGGAGUGUGGUAACUGUUGCUUUUCAAAUAGCUUUUCAUGCCGAAAAGUAUGUCAAUAAUAAUUUUUUUAUUUUUUAAAAAUUAUUUUUUAUAUCAACACAUCAAAACGAUCCAGAAAGUACAAACCAAACUCAAUUUUAGCAAAUAAAAAUAAAAUUGAAAUUGUACAAAAAACAGGUUGCACCGCAGUGCCAAACGGGCACUAAGUUUAUCCACUUAACUAUUACUGUGUAAACGAAUAACAGCUGCCUCUGUUCUUUGCUUAUGUUCGAGCUCCACCUUGUCUUGCUCAUACUUCUUUUCAAACUCUUCCCUUUCUUCUUGUUGCCUAUGCAAUAACUUCCUCAUCUGUUUAUCACAUUUCUUUUCAAUGUCUUUGAUACUUUUUGAGUAAUCUUUUUGUGCCAAUUCCAGAUGAGAAAGGACCUGAUCGAUGGAGAACUCCUGACCAGAUCUGAGGUUUUCAACCUCCAUUCUCACUUUUUGCAUGUUAGAUGGUGUUGACAGUGAAGAUCUUCCAUUUGACUGAUUAUGACUGAAAUCUUCUAAUGAAAAACCUGAAGCUUUUGGAGAGCCAGCUACCUUACAAGUCCCAGUGCGAUAAAGAAAUACUUUCCUCAGACAUCGCAACUUUGAGUAAACAAAAUCUGCCUCGUCUUUCUUGCAGCUGAAAUUCAAAUGCUCUUUUGCAAGUGCAAGUGAUUCUUUGUGAUCAAGUUUGUGCUUUAGCAUGGAAGCUGCAGUCCAACACUGCAAUAUGAACAGCACAAAGUAAAGCAGGCCGUCAGCAAAAGGUAUCAAACAUUUAUGUGAUCACUCACCAGCACAGUUCACAAGGAAGGAAAAAAGAAGGCAUGCUCAGUAAUUAUCACAGAUAUAGAAAAUGCAGAAGCACCAAAAAGCAAGGGAUGAACAGAAACAAGGAGAGAGAGAGACAGACCGCUGAAGUCAAGAAUGUCAACACCAAAUUUCUUAAAUCCAAUUAGUAUGAAAAACAAAAGGAGAAUAAUUCAUUGACACUGUAGUUUCCAUCCUAUGAUAAAGAUCUUACAAGUAGAGGGCAAACCAACCUGUUUUAGUUUGCUUUAGGCACUUUCCCAUUAAAUUAUUUUCUUUCCUAGAUAAAUAGAUAGGACCUAAGAAACAAGAAUCAUAUCUUCCAAGUGUGAUUAGAAUUUCACAUUUCUAAUCGACUUAUUUCAUGUUUACAAUUCUUUUUUAUCCAGGUCUUCUUACUAUUCUUAAAUAGAGGAUGUAGUAGAAUAUGAAAGAUUUUUUUCAUCUUCAAAAUAAUCAGAUAUGAUUAAUUCCAACCUCAAUUCAGAUAAAAAGCCCACUCCAUAAUCCUUCAUUACACUGAAACAAUCACCUUAUUCACAAGGAGUAAAUAAUGCAUUCAACAAAAAGCAUACUAGAAUGUUUGAUAUAGGUAUUUUUAAAAAAUACCUCCCUUCAAUUUCCUCAAUAUGUCAGGUCAUAUUUUUGGCUGCAAAUCUUGUAUCCCUAGCGAUUCCUCCUCUUUUUAAUUCCUAUGUACUAUCGCUUUAGAUCGAAGGUGUAAAAUGACCCCAACAGAGGAUACAAAAGCUUGAACUCUGCUUGUUAGUUUUCGAAACUUGGUCAUUUUACACUUCUUAAAACAACCAGUCGCAUUGCAAAAAUAGGAAUUAACAAUUUAGAAAAGGUAGAUAACAUGUCAUGCAUUUAGAGAUCUGUCAGAUUCAAAACCAACCAGUAAGAUAUUAAAGCUAUUGCAAAUGCAAUGAACAUUUCAAAAUAUCCUCAAAUUCAACAACCAUGAUCCAAAAUGACAUGACAUCGUAAAGCAUCGUUUUACAGUAGUGACUGACUUAUUAUGUUUUAAUCAGAGGGUGUAAGAGUUGUGUCACAAGGAAAUUAAUGAUCAAACAGCAGGAAAUAUAGAAAAAAGAAGGUUCUAACCAAGGAUAUCAGAAAUGCCUGCAAUAAGCUAGGUGGUUCUCUACUGACAUGGUGAUUAUUCAGUACAUAUUCCCGAAACUGUUCCACCAUGACUUUGACAUUUUCCUGAAGGGAUAGUGAAACAUGUCAACAUAACGACAUCAUCAAAGAAAUACUGCUGCAUAAUCUUGAGAUCAAUUAUGAAAAUAACGAUGUUUCCUGAUACAUGACCCAGCAACUUCCAGCAAAUUCAUAAGUCCAGAGUAAACAUGUUAAUAAAGUAAAAGAACCCAUCACAGCAGUAAGCAUAUCAUUUCCCUCACUUUUAAUAGAGUGAAGAUAGAAUUUGGUUAAUUGAGUCCUGGCAAUGUAAGCAAACUAAGACCAGAGAGGGUUUUCUUCUAUUUUUUAAGUUUUCCUUUUUCCUUUUAUAUUGUUACUCAGUGACACACUAGAGGAGACGGAAAAAAUAGCAGAUCAUCAUUGUCAGAAUGCUAAGAAACAUAAAAUAUCAAACAAAUCUUCCUAUUUCAAUGGAUGACAAGGGAGAGGAUUUGUGAUUACAUUGAGAGAACAAGAAAUUAACAAAUAAAAAUAAAAUUCAAAAGCAACAUUUGAUGGUGAUGAUAUUCCAUUUCAAAUAGGAAUUGAGUGAAAUUGAAAUUCAAUAGUGCCCAAAAAUGCAAUGCUCUCUAGGCCAAGAAAUUCUUAGUAUCUUUAUCUCAUUAAGAUCUAAAACAGUUAUUUCAAUCCAAUGCCAACAGUAGGGAUCAUUGCAAGGUUGAUGGCUUGAAUGCACAAAAAGUAGGGUAUUUACCAGAUUUUUUCUUCUUUAUUUCUAUGCUUAAAAUCAAUUCUGAAACCAAUUCAAAGUACUAAGAAUAGCAGUAGAUAGGCAGACCCAAUACACCACAUCAAAGAACCUACUGCAGCAUUCAUGAACAAGUGCUAGAGAAAUUAACUUCAGAGGGAUGAGAUGCAUACUGGGAGUUGCAAAAUUUCACAAAGUUUUGCUAUCUCAGGCUUCAAAAAAAGAUGGAGACUCUUCUCAGAAUCAUCAUGCAAGUUCCUUCCUCCAUCAUACCCAACCAUGUCGGCUUUCAGUACUUGUGAUAAUUUACUAGUCAAAUGUGAGAAGUUGGAAACGUGAUUCACAUCAGUUGUGUUAAGAAGGCCAAUUGAACUUGGCAUGACUUGAGAAAUCUUAUGCACUGGAGCUCCAGAAGUUCCUGCAGAAAAAGAGACAUUUUAUGAAGAUUAAUUAAAAAAAUCAAGGAAAUCCCACAAUGUUUGCCACCUAAUACUCUGAGAAGAGUACCAUCUGUGCAUACAGGAUAAGGAACAAAACCAGAACAAUUAAUCAACAGUGAAACUAGCCAGUUACCUAUUAAAGCAGCUUUCAGAGAAGGCGAAUCAGUGUUAUUGUUGGACACUUUAUUGCGCUUCUUUAACCUUUGCCUUUCGGAACAUGAAUCCACAGAAUCAGUUCUGCCGCGCUCAUAUGGAGCUGCAUCGCCAUCUUCAUUUGAAACCAUUUCCGUAGCAUCAAAAUUCAAGUCGUCAAUACUUCUUUUUUGUUUAGAAGACAUCACUUUGCAACCACUCUUCACCUCAGUAUCAACCCCAGGUGUCCUAUUUACUAUCAGAUCUUGGCUACCUUCCAGUUUAGCUUUCUUUUGUUUCUGUUUGAACUGUUCCCUGUAAGCACGAGCAUCCAUUCUCUUAAUUCCAACCAGGACAGUUUUGAUAACAGGUUUGUCACUGUUUCCAACUUCUUGAGUUUCAAGUUGUUUAACACUCUUCUCUUUCUUGUGCUUUUCCUUCAUAAUUAAAGAGCCGGAGCUUUUACCACACUUUGUUGAACCAGAAGAACUAGAUGACGACUGAUUCUUACCCUUCUCAGGCCUUCUAGAAGGAGUCGGUAAACUUUGUUUCUCGACCAAUCUCUCAGAUUUCCUCGUAACAGGAGGAAUUGUGGGGGGGGUCUGCUUCUCAAUACGUUCAGACUUUCUACUACUUGAAGGGCUUGGAGUCAAGUUUUUCUUCAAUGAUGUUUCUCUAGCUGACUUUCUUAGACCACAAGUAUCAUUAGCAGCACCCAAACUGCUUGAUGAUCUGUUACCAAUGUUUCUCCCUUUUAUAUCAUUACUUUCCUCAUCCUUACCUUUACGACUAACCUUGGUAUCAUUUCCCAUCCUGCAAGCUGUAAACCACAAACAACAACAACAACAUGAGAUUCCAUUAAAUAAACCAGGUCAGGCUUAACAUUGAUGUUUCACAAGCAAUUGACCAAACUAAACCCAAGUAUCCCUAUAUUGGCAAACCAAUCCCCCACUCUUCCACUUACAUUCAACCCCAUAAAAAAAUUACUAUAUUUGAAGCAAUCUUACAAAAACUUAGACUGGAUAUUCUUGGAAAUUAUGAACAACAUUCUCAUAAAGAAAAAAAAAAGUAUUCAUUAUUAGAAUUUCCAAGUACAAUAUUCUCAUAAAAGAAACAAAAAUUGCCAAAAAACUUAAUUCUUAGAAUUUCCAAGCAAAACGUUCUCAAAAAGAAAGAAUAAUAGCAAAAACAAUGAAAGGCUUAGAAGACAUCAACAAUGUACAAUCAAGGCUGCAUGUUCAUUUCAAUCACUGCAAUGCCAUUCACAAUCACCGAACCGCAAGAACCUAACGAAAAAAUCAACAGAAACUACACCAAAAUUACGCUAAACAAAACCCUAAGUCACUGAAAAAAUUAUUUUUUUCUUUUUCAAUUUCAGAUUAAAAACCCUAUCAGAAGGAGGGGGGGGAGGGGUGGAUGAGAUUGGAGUUCUAACUUACCGGAGAGAGAAUAGUUGGGAGGUCACCGGAUUUAGUCUUCCGACGGCAUUUGACUGCCGGAGUCUUUAAUUGCCGAGUAGAAAUGAGUAAAGAGUUGAUAAAACUUUACCAAUGAACAGGCCCGCAGGGAAGGGGUUAAUGAUCAAUGUCAUGCUUUGUACCUGCCCAGUUGGGAGGUUACUUAUAUGUUAAUCUUUAGUCCUACCACUUUACUUGUAUUCAAUUUAGUCCAACACUACAAGGAUUGGAUUCAGACUUGGUAGCUAUCAUUUUUUUUAAAACCCGACAUUACUUAAUGAGUUAACCUCUAAACUAAUCCGGAUUUUAAUUUUAAUAAACCCAGUAAAAACCUUUAACUUUUUUAAAAAUAAAUAAUAAUAAUAUUUUUACUUUUUAUAAAAUAAAAAUAAAUUAAUUAAUCAGGUUAAUUCUAGUUAACAACACUAUGGCCAUAAACUUGUUGCGAGACAACCCCAAACCUUUGAUAUGGGAGGGCAACCCAACAAAUAAACAUUGAUAGAAAUUAGCUUAUCAACUCCCGAAAUAGUAAUAUAAAAAUCCAUAUUUAAAAUCUGAUUUAGAAACUUGAUAAUCAUGGAUUGAAUUCAUGUUAUCAUAUGUGAAAAGCUUAAACUGAAAAACAAAAAAUGAAUUUGUUUUAAUAAUUUUUUCUCAAUAGUCGAAGUUUUUAUUGUUGACAACUGUCAAUCACAAAUAGAGAAAUAAUUCGUCAUAAUUGAGGGCACAAUAUGUGUAAUUGUUUUUUUUUCAAGUUUUUGUGGUUGUAUUUUUUUAAAAAUAAGUUUUUAAAAAAUAUGAUUAGAUAUUGUUAGUUGGAUUUAGAUACGUGUUUGAUAAAAAUUAUAGUUGAGAUUUAUGUAUAGCAAAAAACAUAUAUAAAAUGUUUGGUUGUGAUUGUUUUUCAAAAGUGUUUUUUCUUGGAAAUGCAUUAAAAUAAUUUAAAAAAUAUAUAUAUUUUUGAUAUUAGCGCAUCAAAAUAAUUUAAAAAUAUAAAAAAAUAAUAAUUUAAGGUAAAGAAAAAAAUAAAAAAAAUUUAAAUUUUGAAAAAAGUGCUUUUGAAACGCAAAAAUAAAUAGAAUUUCAUGAAAUUUAGUUAAAAAAACAUGUAAAAACUGCUUCACAAAAGCUGCGUUUCAAACUCAAUUUUUUAGUGGGCUCCACAGUAUAAAAUGUAACUUAGUGUAUAAUCAAAUACCUAACUGUGUUUUUUAUACCGCAAAUACAAAAGUUACGACUAAAGAAAUGCACCUUAACUACAAUGAUUUUUUUAAUAAACUAUAUAACUUUAAUAUACAUGAAAUUGAAAGAUAUUGGAGGUUGAUAAUUGAUGUGAUGUUAAUCCACUUAACCAGUGAUUCUAAACUUGCUUCGUGUUAAUUGAUUUGAACUAGAUUUAAAAACUAUAAUACAAGGGUUAACUUGAUAAUUAUAGAUUGAAUUCAUGUUUGCAUUUGCUUAAACUAUAUAUAAAAACAAAAAAUAAAAAUUGUAAAUAAUUUUUUACUCGGUAGUCAAAGUUUUAGUUGUUGACUUAACUGUCAAUCACAAAUGGAGACACAAUUUGUCAUAAUUGAGGGAACAAUAUUUAACUACAAAGUUUUUUUUUUUUUAAUAUAUCUUUAAUAUACAUGAAAAUGGAAGACAUUGAAGGUUGAUAAAUGAUGUUAACUCACGUACAUAUUUAAAAUCAUUAUUGUUAAAUCACUUACAUGUUUAAACAUAUGCCACAUAAAUUUUAAAUUUAAUAUUCAUAAGUAUAGUAAUUAAAAAUUAGAUAAAUAUAUACUUUGAGGAUUAGCUUGUAAGGUGAUUUUUUAAAAAUAUAUAUCUAAAAUGAAAACAACAAAAUAAAAAUAAUAUGUAUAAAAAAGAUAGAAUAUAGAUGAAAAACACUUGAAACAAAAAACCUAAAUAUUGUAAAUAUUAUCCUACAAGAAAACAAACGAGUAAUUUUUUUUAUUAUUAAUCUAUAAAAAAUAUCAAUAUGUCCUUAAUUUAAAUAUAAACUAAAUAACCUUAUUAUAAUUUCUUCUUGUCCCACAUCAUUAAUGAAUAUAAAAAUACUAUGGUGUAAUUUUGGGAUAUAGCUUAACUGAUCAGAUUCUAAAUUUGCUCCUCGAAGAUCAUCAGUUCGAGUUUCAAAAAAUUCAGGGUCACUGGAAACUUAUAUGAUCGUUAACUUCAGGGCCCGUGGAAUUAGUCGAGGUACGCACAAACUAGACCGGACACCUAUAUUAAUCUAAAAAAAAAAACAGUAUGUUGUACCUCUAAUAUCGUCUUGGCUUUACAACCUUAAGUUAACACGAAGAACUAUAGCGAGCAAACACAUUGUAAGAUUUAAAUUCAAAGAGAAAUAUUAUAUAUAAAACCAAUUAAUGACUCAAUUUGAUCACAACUCAAGUUUGUUUAUAUCUAUAGAAUCUGCAAUUUGCUUUCGAGAUCAGCUAUGACCUCAGAAGUUGGCAAAAACUGGCAAAUCAGGAUGGUCUGCAAACAGUCCUUCCACUUGUUUCUGUAUGCACAUAAAGUCAUCAAAACGUCUUUGUAAGCCUCCUUGUUGAUGCGCUUCUGCACCUUCCUUACAAAAUCGACAGCUUCUUCAUGGUCUCUAGUAACCUUCUCCGCGGCCAUUAAUGCUUCUUAAUUGAUGCGAUUCUGAGAAGGUUAGAAAGCCGAAUAAAAGAACAGAUUACCCUAAUUAUUGCUAUUAUAGUUGUUUUUGUAUUAACCGGAGCACAAUAUUAUAUAUAUAUAUAUAUAUAUAUAUAUAUAUAUAUAUAUAUUUGUGCCCUAUCAACUCUAAUUAAAUCGGACUCCUAUCCUUGUUAUUUAUUACCAGGGCAUUAAGCCUAUCCAAUAGAGUAAGCGUAAAAAAUAUAUAUAUCUGGCCCAUACCCGUUAAAAAACCAACCACCUCUCAAGUCUCGACCCAUGGCCCAAAGCAUUUGAAGUCCUUAUGUUCAAAUGCUUUUCAAACUAAGUCUCUUGAUCUGUUAUAAGUUAAAACUCUAAGAAAUAAGACUAUUAUAAAUAUAUAAAGAUUUUUAAAAUAUUUAAUUUUGUUUUGCUUUAUUUUUAUUUUUCAAAAACUUAUUAUAAAUCUUUAUAUAGAAAAUAAACUAGAAAGAGGACUUGAUUUUAUACUUGCUCCACGUAUAAUAUAUGUUUAUUUUCAGUAUACUACUCAUCUAUUAUUACAAACUUUGUUAAUUUGUAAUUGUUUUUUUUUUUAUUAAGUUGUAUAAGGGGAAUGAUAAUACUGUAAAUUGCCAAAAUCACUACUAAGUACAAACAAAAUAUUCUAUGCAUGUGUGACACAAUUAUAUCUGCAUUUGUAUCAAGGGCGACCCCACCUCCGCUAUUCAAUCAAAGCACUGAAAUUGGAGCAAGAAGAUCCACCUUCUUCAACAGCAUUCCUGGUCGUUUCUUCUAGCUUCUUUGUUCUGCUCCUCAUUUCCUCUGCUUCUCUACAGCUUCACUUUUAACAUGAUCUCCAUGCACUGUGAGCCAUUCCUUAACUCCAACACCAACUCCUCUAAUAAUUAGGCCUUUGCCUUCCAUUCUUCCCUCAAAUCCUUCAGGUAAACAAUCUUCCUUGUCUUCUUGACCCUUUUUGCUUCUUCUAACUGUUGAAUAUUAAACUCAAUCCAGAAGCUCCCAGAAGGUCAAGGAAGGCAACCAGCCACCAGCCACCAACUGACCAGCCACCAGCCGCAGUCGCCUGCCACCAGCUGCCACAGUCGCCAGCCGCCUUCAUACUUGAAGGUUGAAUUUUAUAGUUUUUGAAUUCGUGUAUAAAUAGAGUGCUCAGCUUAUGUUAUAUUGUGUGGAGAGAAUUGAGAGGAACAUUAGAAAAAGAAUAGAGAGAGAGGGCGUGUAAUUGUUAAGCUUUUGUUGUUAAUUGUAAGCUUCGGAUUUUGUAAUAAAACUUUGUGUUUUAUCCCCUCUGAGUGUUUCAAAGCCACCACCAGUGAUUUUUCCCACCAACAAUUGGUAUCAGAGCCCUGUUCGUCGGAAAACAGAAAAGUUUUGGGGUAUAUCCGAAUUUUCAAAGUUGUCAAAAACAAGUUUUGAUCAUUCCAAAGUGUAGAGCUCAUCAAGACGAGCUCACUGGUGCAAGAAUCAGCUUCAUCGGAGACGGAGGUAGCCCACACGCGCCGCCUGCAGAUUCUGCACAGACGCCCACGCGCCCAGAGGUAGAAGACGAGUGAGCCACACUCGCGCCAUAUUUGAGCCGAGCCGAGCCGUAUACACCGAGUCCUAGCCGAGCCGCAAGCCGAGUCCAGCCGAGCCACAAGCCGCGCCGUACUCCGCACCGAGCCGAGCCGCAUUCCAGCCUCAGCCGAGCCGAAAGAAUAUUCCCCGAAUAUUCCCGGUUCAACCUAGCGAACCGCCCGCCGUACAGAAUUGGUUUUUUGACCGGUUCACCCAUUUUCUGACCCGAUUUCAAUAAAGUCAGACCGGUUCCCUGCUAUUUGGACCAUUCUAGAUCGAUCUACAGUGUUCGUUUGGCCAAAUUCGGCUCCCAGAGAGGUGAUAUAGUCAUUCAAAGAGCAAAAUGACUAUAGAAGGUACACAUACACUCAUCCCGAAGCUGAUCAAAGACAACUAUGAUAGUUGGUGCAUCAGAUUGAAGGCAUUCCUUGGUUCACAAGAGUGUUUGGAUAUUGUACAAACUGGUUAUGAUGAACCAGAGUCCAAAGAAAGAGAAGAUGCUUUACAAGAGGCACAGAAGCAAGCCCUCAAAGUCAACAGAAAGAAGGACAACAAGGCAAAGACCAUCAUCUAUCAAGGUCUUGAUGAAGAUACAUUCGAGAUAAUAGCUUCCGCUGAAACAUCACAUGAUAUAUGGGAGGCUCUCCAACAGAAAUACAAAGGUGCUGACAGAAUCAAGAAGAUUCGUCUUCAAUCUUUGCGAGGAGAAUUUGAAUUAUUGCAAAUGAAGUCCUCAGAGUCUAUUUCUGAUUAUCACACAAGGAUUAUGGUGAUAGUCAACCAGAUGAGGAGAAAUGGAGAAGCCAUCAUCGAUUCUCGAAUUACUGAGAAAAUUUUGAGAUCCCUAGAUCCAAAAUUUGAUUUUGUUGUUGUCGCAAUUGAAGAGUCCAAGGAAGUGGACAAGUUGACAGUUGAUGAGCUUAUGAGUUCUUUGCAAGCUCAUGAGCAGAAGAUUGUAAAGCGAAAUGAAGAUAAGGCCAUUGAGCAUGCCUUACAAGCAAAGCUGUCUCUCAAGGACAGAUAUGAGCAAGGGGAGACUUCAACAAGUGGCUACACCACUCAAGCAGGAAGUCAACAAUCCAGAGGAGGAUUUCAGAAUUCCAAGGAAGAGGUUCUUGGAAUACAAGCUUUAGAGGAAGAGGUGGCAGAAACACCACCAGAGGAGGCCGAGGACAACAAGCAUUCACUCCUAGAGGAAGAGGAGGCGGUUACAAUAACCGUGACAAGAGGAAUAUCAAAUGUUAUAGUUGCAAUCAAUUUGGGCACUAUAGCACUGAAUGCAGAUGGAAAGCUCCGUUGGAGAUACAUGAGCAAGCCAACUAUGCAGAGAAGGAUGACAGAGAAGCAUCUGCAUUUCUUGUCCAACAAGAACUUGGCGAGAAACAAGAGAACAUAUGGUAUCUAGAUACUGGAGCCAGCAAUCACAUGUGCGGCUACCGAGAGUUAUUUGGUGAUCUAGAUGAGACCAAGCAAGGUCUAGUUACUUUUGGAGAUACCACAAAGGUUCCAUUCAAAGGUAAAGGCAGUAUCCCAAUCAAGUUGAAGAACGGCGAUUCCAGCUACAUCGCCAAUGUCUAUUAUGUCCCAGCCAUAAAGCAGAACCUGAUCAGCUUAGGUCAACUUUUGGAGAGAGGAUAUACUUUUUACUCAAAGAAUUGUCAUCUGACAAUUAGAGACAACAAUGGGAGAUUAAUGGCCUACGUGAAAAUGUCCAAGAAUAGGAUGUUUCCUUUGAACAUCCAGUAUGAUGCAACAAGGUGUUUGAGUGCCAUCACCAACAGUGAAGAAUGGCUUUGGCACCUGAGGCUUGGACAUCUGAAUUUCACAAGUUGAAGAUGCUAGCAAGCAAGAAGAUGGUUAAAGGUUUGCCUCACAUUGAUCAUCCAGAUGAAGUCUAUGAGAGUUGUGUCCUCAGCAAACAUCACAGAUCCAGUUUUGCCAAAGAAGUCAACUGGAGAGCAAAGAGGCCACUGGAGUUAGUACACACAGAUGUGUGUGGCCCAAUUACGCCUAUGUCGACUGGACAAAAUAGGUACUUCCUCACUUUUACUGAUGAUUUUAGUAGAAAGACGUGGAUAUACUUUCUGAAGAGGAAGUCAGAAGUAUUCAAUUGUUUUAAAGAUUUUAAAGCAAUUGUGGAGAAGCAAACUGGUUACACGAUCAGAACCGUAAGAUCUGAUCAAGGUGGAGAAUAUACAGCAAAUGACUUUGAAGCCUAUUGUACACAACAAGGCAUCAGACAUCAGACACACCAGCUUAUACACCACAGCUGAAUGGUGUAGCAGAAAGGAAGAAUCGCACGAUUCUUGACAUGGCAGAAGUCUGCUCAAAGCAAAGAAGUUGCCCAAGCAAUACUGGGCUGAAGCUGUAUCAUGUGCAGUGUAUCUUGAAUCGCUGCCCAACCAGAAGUUUGCAAGGUGUUACUCAGCUCCAGAAGAAGCAUGGAGUGGUCACAAACCAAGUGUUACUCAUCUACGAGUCUUUGGUUGUGUGGCAUAUGCAAAGAUCCCAGAUGCAAGAAGGAGAAAGCUCGAUGAUAAGAGCGAGAAAUGCAUCUUUGUCGGAUAUGGUGAAAGAAGGAUGGGAUACAGGCUGUAUAAUCCAAUCACGAAGAAGGUGAUUACGAGUAGAGAUGUUAUCUUUGAAGAAGAUAAAUCUUGGGCAUGAAAUGGUGAUCAAGAAGCAGUCAAAUGGAUCAAUCUUGAUUUGAUCCUUGAAGGUGAAGAAGUACCAACAAUACUUAUAAAAGAACCGAUUGUGCCAGCAACUAAACCACAAAGUCCAGUGUUUAUACCAGCAGUUGAACCACAAAGUCCGGUACACAGAUUCCCUGUAUUCAACAGGAGGAACACACCAGGAGCAUCAUCAUCAACACCAUCAUCAGCAUCCUCAUCAGAAGGACCAAGAAGGAUGAGGAAUCUUGAAGAGUUGUACGAUACCACUCAGGUCAUGGAAGAUACAACUCUGUUUUGUUUCCAUGCAGAUAAUGACCCAUUAAGCUUCAAUAAAGCUGUCACAGAAAAGAAAUGGAUAAAAGCAAUGGAUGAAGAAAUACAUGCCAUUGAGAAGAAUGAUACUUGGAAGCUGACUCAUCCACCAGAAAACAAGAAAGCAAUAGGUAUCAAAAGGGUCUACAAGACGAAAGCCAAAUUAGUGGAUAAAGGCUACAAGCAGAGAGAAGGCAUUGAAAGGAGAAGUGUUCAUGCUUGGCAUGACAUCCCUCGAUUGAGUUUAAAGGGGAGAUUUGUUGAAUAUUAAACUCAAUCCAGAAGCUCCCAGAAGGUCAAGGAAGGCAACCAGCCACCAGCCACCAACUGACCAGCCACCAGCCGCAGUCGCCAGCCACCAGCUGCCACAGCCGCCAGCCGCCUUCACACUUGAAGGUUGAAUUUUAUAGUUUUUGAAUUCGUGUAUAAAUAGAGUGCUCAGCUUAUGUUAUAUUGAGUGGAGAGAAUUGAGAGGAACACUAGAAAGAGAAUAGAGAGAGAUGGCGUGUAAUUGUUAAGCUUUUGUUGUUAAUUGUAAGCUUCGGAUUUUGUAAUAAAACUGUGUUUUAUCUCCUCUAAGUGUUUCAAAGCCACCACCAGUGGUUUCUCCCACCAACACUAACUACCCAGAUAAAUUGGUGCCCAGAAGCUUCGAGACCUGCUGCAAUCUCCUUAAGCUGAGAGGCAGUGAAGUUUGCCAUGCUUCCAAAGCAAAUAUAAACAACUGAAUUUGGUUUCUUUGAGUCGAGUCACUUCAACUGAAUUUUCCAUGUUGAGCAAUUGACGCUUCUUUUCCUCUUCCUGCUUCAUCUUCAUUGUCUCUAUUGCAUAGUGAAACCAGGCCCACGUUAAUUAACACCCUCUUUAAUUGACCCAACAAGACAAUGUCGUAACCAUUCAGGUUCCUCUUCUACAGAUUCAUGGAUCACUUUAUGCAAAGCAGAGGAAUGAUUUUCUGGAAAAAGAGUUUCUUGGGAACUUACAGUAGAUUUCGUUGGAACUCUUCUUUCAGGACGUAGCAUAGCUUCUUGAAUCUCUGUUUCUAAUCGGAACAGGGUAGCAACGAGAAGCUUGGAGUGGUCGCAGGAUGUCUUUCUUUUGUUCAUGAGGCUGCCUGUCGAAACGCUGAAGAUUUGCCAGCAACUUGUAGGAAUCAAAUCAAAGCCCCUUUUAAAAAUUUAAGGACCAAAAGGAAGAAAAUAAAAAAAAAUCUGCCUUGUGUUUUAAAAAACACCUCCCUUCUGUUUCCUCAACAUGUCAGUUCAUAUUUUUGGUUGCAAAUCUUGUAUCCCUGGCGAUCCCUCCUCCUUUUUAAUUCCUGUGCGCUAUUGUUUUAGAUCUGAGGUGUAAACUGACCCCAACAGAGGAUACACUCUAUACCCAAUCUGUGUAGUAUGAUGAAAAUACAUAAUAUUUCUUCUUACAUACCAAAAAAAUAUUUAUUUUCAGUACACUACUCACGUACUAUUUCUUUUGUUUUCUUCUUGGGCAUAAUCACCAAGCCUGUAUUCAUGUACAAUCUAGAACAAAAUGGAAGUACAUAGCAGGACUUUGGUUUCUUAGAUCAAUUUUCUUCAGAGUUUACAGCUAUGACAAUAAGCUACCAAAGACAAACAUGUUCUUGAAAAAUUUGGUAAACAAACUUAAAUUAUCUGUAACAUUUACAGACUCUGAUUACUGAUCGCUGAGACUUCAUUUUUUUUCCUGUUUGUUGAGCAAGUCCAAGCAAGCACUAGGAUAACUUACUAGUGAAAAAUAUUAAUCUACAAUUUACACUUACUGAUAACAUGCAUGUAGAUAUCUUAUUGGUUGGGUUUUACAAUUUACACUUUCUAAUUUAUAAAACCAGGAGUAAAUAACAUAUAUUAGAGGUUUAGGUAGCUUCCUGCCCAUGUGAAAACACAAGAACGACAGGUUAAAUUUGACCACAUGUUAUCCUAUUGAAAUAUGACAUGUGUUGUUGGACACAUGCCAAGCACAUUAUCACAUGAACAAUGAAUCAGCAGAAGGAAUUUUUAGUUAGAUAUUAGUCUUAAGAUUUAAAAUUUUUUAAAAAAAAUCAUCAUUUUUUAAAUACCAUAUCAGCCCCCUAACUUGUAAAAAUGACAAAUGCUACCACUGGCUAUCCCAUGCUAUUGCUGGCUAUCUGUAAGGCCUUAAUUUGCCUACGGCCAUACGGUCCACAUAAUAAUUUUCUUAAAUGAAAAAAACGUUAUCUUUAUUGUUAAUUAAGCUUGGAACCCUGUAGCAAACAUCUGAGAUAGAAACUGCAUCAAGGGUUUUUGUUUUUCCGUUCUUCAAAUUUUUGGCGAGAGAAAAGAGAUCAGGAUUGGUGAUUCUGGAGCAAGUAGCCAUGGACAUGAUCGCAGUGCAGGUGGCGCUCGAGAAACUGGCUUCCUUUGUAGCAGAAGAAACACGGUUCUUGGGAGGAGUUAGAGGGGCAAUCGUUGAACUACAAGAUGAUUUGUAUAGCAUGAAAUCUUUCCUUCAGGAUGCGGAAGAAAGGAGUGAGAGUGAUCAAGGACUGAGAGCCUGGGUCAAACAAGUGAGAGAUGUGGCUUAUGAUGCUGAGGACAUUCUUGAAGAGUUCAUGCUCCGGUUUGCUCCAUCUCACUGGAGUGGUUUUAUCCAUUAUCUUCGCAAUUCAUAUCGUUCCAUUCGUAAAUUAAGCGCACGGCACCGUCUGGCAGUACAGCUACAAAGCAUUAAAGCAAGGGUGAAAGCCAUUUCUGAGAGAAGAAAUGCAUUUUCUUUGAAUAGGAUAGACAUGCCAUCAACCUCCGGUGCUACCGUAGAGAAAUGGCAUGAUCCCCGGUUAGCUGCUCUUUACUUAGAUGAAGCUGAUGUCGUGGGAAUUGAGAACCCAAAACAUCUACUGGUUUCGUGGCUUGUGGAAGGCGAAGAAAAGCUGUCCAGUAUCUCUGUGGUUGGAAUGGGUGGGUUGGGGAAAACAACCCUCGUAAAGAAAGUCUAUGACAGCCACCCCAUCAGAAGAAGCUUUGAUACCCAUUCUUGGGUUACAGUUUCCAAAUCGUUUGCAUCCACGGAGCUUCUACGAGUUGCUCUGCAGGGGUUUCUGGUGACAGCAAACGAACCUGUUCCGGAUAAUUUGCAAUCAAUGACUGACUUCCAAUUAAUUGAUGCUCUAAGAAAUUAUCUAUGGAGAAGGAGGUAUGUCAUUGUUUUGGAUGAUGUAUGGAAUGUAAACGCUUGGGAAACAAUAAAGUAUGCAUUUCCUGAUUGUAACUGUGGUAGUAGAAUUAUCUUCACUACACGUUUAAGUAACUUGGCUGAAUCUAUAGAGAACACUAGUCAUGUUUAUGAACUCCAAGCUUUACCAGAAAAUGAAGCUUGGACCCUCUUUUGUAUGAAAGCCUUCAGAGGGGAACAUAAGGCUGUAUGCCCUCCAGAACUGGAAGACAUGUCUCGAAAUAUCUUAAAGAAGUGUGAGGGACUGCCACUUGCAAUUGUAGCAAUAGGAGGCCUACUGUCGAAGAAGAAAAACCGAGGUUUGGAAUGGAAGAAAGUCUAUGACUGCCUAGCUACAGAGUUGAAAAGUAACGACGACCUUGGGAGUGUACGUAGAAUACUUCAACUAAGUUAUGAUAAUCUUCCUUACUACCUCAAGCAGUGUUAUUUGUAUUUAAGUGUUUUUCCAGAGGAUUAUUUGAUAAAAAGAAGGAAGUUGAUCCGGCUAUGGAUAGUUGAAAGGUUUGUGGAAGAGAAGCAAGGCUUUACAAUGGAGGAAGUAGCAGAGGAAUACCUUAAUGAACUCGUGAAUAGGAGUUUGAUCCAAGUGGUGGAGAAGAAUUAUUUUAAUAGGGUCAAGACAUGUCGUGUUCAUGAUCUAAUGCGAGAAAUCAUUCAAAUGAAAUCCAGGGAAGAAUCUUUUGUUAUGAUAGCAAACGGAACAAGAAUCAGCAAGAAUGAGAAAGUUCGGCGUCUAUCAAUCCAUGAAAACUAUGAGGAAGUACAAUCAGAUAUGAGAUUUCCUUAUCUGUGGUCUUUGUUGUCAUUUUCUUCACAUCAUUCUUUUGAGCACGGUUUCCGCAAUUACAAGCAGUUGAGAGUGUUGAAUUUAGAUCGAGCUCCCCUUUCCACCUUCCUACCUGAAUUGGUUGAACUGAUUCAUUUGAGAUACUUAAGUUUGAGAUGGACCAAGAUAAGUGAGCUUCCAGAGUCCAUAAGGAAGCUCAAGUACUUGGAAAUACUGGAUUUGAAAAGGAGUCCUGUAUCUUCUUUGCCUGCUGGGAUCACACAAUUGACAUGUCUUUGCCAGCUCCGUAACUAUCGAUACAUUUUCCAGUCCUCAUCGUUCUUCCCAGACACUCAUGGAAUGAGAGUUCCGUCAGGAAUAGGAAGAUUGACGAGCCUGCAGAAAUUGGGAAGCGUCGAAGUGAAUGAAGAUUAUGAGUUAGUCAGGGAGUUGGGAAAGCUAACUCAGUUGAGAAGGCUGGGCAUUUUAAAGCUAAGAGAAGAGCAGGGAAUGGAUCUAUGUUAUACUUUGGAAAGGUUGAAACACCUUACUGCAUUGUAUCUUGUUUCACUAAACAACACUGAAGUCUUACAAUUUGACUCUCUUUCAUCUCCUCCAAAAUAUCUCCAACGACUAAAUCUCAAAUGUAGUCUUCCAGCUUUACCAGGAUGGAUAGCUUCACUCCAGUAUAUUUCCAAGCUAGUGCUUCAAUAUUCUAAUUUGAAAAGUGAUCCUCUCAAGGCCCUCAAGAAAUUGCCUAGUUUGGUGAUGCUUGAACUCCGUCAAGCUUAUGCAGGGGAAGAACUGUGUUGUGAUCCUAGUGGAUUUUCAAAGCUGAAGAGGCUAGGUCUCCAUGAACUGGAGAGAUUGCGGCGCAUCAGAAUAGCAAAGGGAUCAAUGCCUGGGUUAGAGAGGCUAGACAUCACAGCAUGCACGGUGCUAGAAACUGUGCCGGAUGGGAUUGAAAACCUGAAAAAUAUAGGAGACCUGGUUCUGUGGUAUAUGCCUUCAACAUUCAUCAAGACAAUAGAGAGGUACCGCGGUGAAGAUUUCUGGAGAGUUCAACAUAUCACAACAAUCACCUGUAUCUACGAGAGCCAGGGGAGACGGGUCUCUGAAACUCUUCUGUAAUUAGAGGGGUUAACUACGGAGAGGACUACAGUUUCCGGAAUAUCAUUAUCUCUGUCAAGUUCCUCAGGUCUGUACAGACGUUUCAUCAUGUAAUGCUGAGCCUCAGAAAACAGAAAACUGCUGCUCUUCCCUCCUCUUCUCUGCUCCUUUGUCUCUGUUUUGCUGUUGUUGAAUCUUCCAACCUGCUAUCUUGCCCAUGUUUGUCACCACUAAAUUCUUGACACCGUCAAUUUCUAGACAUCAAUACGAGUAUAUUUGGGAUUUGUCAAAUGUUUAUUUUAUAUUUUAUCAAAUUUUCACAACUUGAGUUCGUUUUGCAAGUUCACAUCAACUUUUUUUAUGCUGGUUUUGUUUUAUUCGUUUUGUAGCAAUGUAUUUAUAUUUUUUAAUUUAAAAAAAAAUGAUGAGAAAAAAUAAAAAUAACCAAAGAUUCAAAAAGAAAAAAAAUAGAGCUAGAGUUUUGAUCUUGAUCCAAGUGUGAUAAGAUUUUCCAAAAGAUAUGUAGAUGUGAAAGAGUGACGCAAUAUUGCUCUUGGACCAGCUGAUGGUAUACAAGUAGAUCUAUGAAUAAAUGACAUAAACAGUCCAGGGAAAGUUAACAGCUCCAAGCCCUCGUCUGUACAAUUUUACUAUUAAAAAGGAAAAAAAGGUUCCAAACCUAUGAAGUUGAAGAUCAUUGUUUAUUGGAUGAGUACUUUGAAAUCCUAAACUCAUUUUGUUAUUAGAACAAAAGGGUAAACCCACUUUUUGACUUUGUAACGUAGAAGCAGAGUAUCCAACUUUGAGCCAUAAAGAAAGUUUGAGACGAAAAAAAAUGAGAAGCCAAUAGUAUAAAAAACUUUAUAAUCGUAUCAGAUUUCAAACAUCGUUUUAGUGAUGGAAAAAGAAGCCUCUACCACUCACAAGCAACCACUCACCGCAAAGAGGCCUCUACUCUGCCACCAGAAGAUCUUUUUUGGAAAGGGAGUAGAGAAGAUAGUUGCAAGUAAAAAAAAAUCCCUGGCCUGACAUAUAGCAAGCCUGCCUCUUUCUUUCUUGGGCUGACAGUCAUCCAUUGGUCAAUCCACUUUAUAUAUAUCCUGGGCCUGAUCAUACUGGAGCAAAGUAUGUGAGCUUCGAAGGAAAAAAGAAAAAGAAAAAGAGAGAGGGAAGCACAAACAGGAGUUCAAUUUUGUUGAAUCCUGUUCUCUUAUCUAUCAUAUAUCUUCUUGCUAGCCUCUCAAACAUGAAUCCUAACCGAUAUGCUAAAGGUGAGAUGGAAAUAUUUGGAAACCAAAAUGUGCAGCCAAAUAAUCAUUAAAUGUAACAGCACAUUGAUCCCUUUCCAAUUUCAUACUGACUUCCUAUCAAGAAACAAAAAAAAUAAAAAAUAAAAACCAAACCACAAGGGUGACUUCUUGAUUGAGAGGUGAGCUAAGAACUUGUAAGACAACGGUUCAGGUCUCAAAUGGAAAUUGAGCAAGAAAAUCUCCUUUUCCCAUCCUUGCGUGCCCCAAUCAUAGCCCAUGGAUCCGGUUUCAUUUGAUAGAUGUACCAAGCUGACUACAUGCCAGUCUAACGUUUGUCGCACGUGUGUUAUGUCGCGACAAAUCAUCCUCUUGGAUUGGAAAAUGAAAAAGAUAAGGAAUUUUUAUCCUUUAUUAGUGGAAAGAGAGAAUGACAGUCAUUACCUAAUAUUUUAGUCAUUAGAAACCUUGAUUAAUCUCAGAGAUUAGGCACGUGAUCUGAUUGCGAAAAUAAAAGAUAUUAAUACCCUUAAUACGUUUUACAUGAGGUAAGUUAUUUUGCUUAAUUAUCUGAUAGAAACUAAGAUAUUGCUAUAUUUUAUAAUUAUUGAUCUGUUUAAAAUUUAAGAAAAGUUCUUAUAAGUAGGGAGAUCGCUAUCUUAUUAGUUAAAAAUCUAACCAUUCUAAUAUCAAUAAAAUAAAAAAUUAUCUUUUAUUUAAUAUCAAGAAUACAUCUUACGAAAUCCAAGAUUUUAAAAGAUAACAAAAUAAUGUUUUUUAGGAUUUUUGAAGUAUAAACUUAGCUCUCAUGUUUUCAAUAAAAUAGUUAUUAAAGUUUAAAAUACAUGCUAAUACAUAUUUUUUUAAAUUUAUUUGUUGAGCAAGUCCAAGCAAGCACUAGGAUAACUUACUGGUGAAAAAUAUAACCAGUAGCAACAACCUGCAGGAGCAAAUAAUAAGGAUUGAGCUGUAUCAAUUGUUCGACUGUUCAUUUCAAAACCUGUGCAAAGUGCAAUUGAAAACAGAAACAUUACAAGCAUGAAAUCUCAAAUGACAAGGGUUUUUGUAACGAGUUUAAGACAAGAAGGCUAAAAUUGUCUUCUGAAGCUCAAAACUAAUGAUUUUAUUUUUUCUUGUUUUUUCAAGCCAUUGAUAGUGUUUUGUUUUAUUUCCCCCCUUCAUUCUUGGCAUACUCUGUCUAUGUACGUCAUCUCUGCCCUAAAUUUCUCCAUUCUAACACAUCCAUGUUUUAAUCAAUGCAUUUUCUUCCUUUUUUAUAUAUAUAAAAACUGUCUUACAUUCAUGUAGAUAUCUUAUUGGUUGGGUUUUACAAUUUACACUUUCUAAUUAAUUUAUAAAACCAAGAGUAAAUCACAUAUAUCAGAUAUUUUUUUCUUGCCCCAAAUUCAUUUUGAUGGGAUAGAGAUUGAAGAAUUAGAUAAUUUUGGGUGCUUACUUGUUUUAUUGUUUUUCUCUCAAACUUGUUUUGAUUUAUAAUUUUGUAAAUGUUAUGGUUUGUUUUAGAUUUUGUAAAAUUGUAUUUGUUUGUAAAUUAUUGAAACUUAUGUCAAAUUACCGACUUAGAUGUUUUGUGAUGAAAUAAAUAAUGGUUUGUUUAACGGAUCCUUUUUAUGUUUUGUCAAUUUUAUUACCGAGUUGUAAUUUCCGUAAAUUAAUGUGUAUAAAUUUAUAUGUACAUAGAUAAUUGAUAAUGAAUAUUUAAGAGAAGUUUGAAAGUAAGUUGGAUAAUCUUGAGCUAAACCAAUAUUUUUUGCAAAUUUAUUUAUUUAAUCUAGUUAAUUAAUACAUGUUGUCAUCAUUAUUUGAUAUAGGUUCUACAACGUUGAGGCGGUGUCCCUUUAUAGUUGGAUCAAUUCACCCACAAGUACGAGGCAUAUUGGAAGGACGACCUUUCAAUGUAAAUUGUUUUGAUUUGAGUUAAUUUGUGUUUAACAAUUUAUGAACAACUAAUAUUUUUUUUAAAAUAUAUUUUUUAAUUAUCACGGAUGGCAUUACUGACAGAAUCAAUCUGUUAGUAUGUUCCAGAGAGUUGGAAAACAUUUAUUGCAUAUGCCACUACAUCAACGAUGGAAUUAUUCUGUCGGUAAUUUACAGAGGGUUGGAUUAAAUUUAUUUGGAAUGCCACUGCCAAUCACCAACAAAAUUAUUGUCUUUAUAUUCAUCAACGACAUAAUUCCAUCAGUAUAUUCCAGUAGGUAAAAACUUUUGUGGCGCAUAUUUUCUGUUUAUAAAACUAUCAAUUUUUUAUUUUUAUUUUUAUUUUUACUAAUAGAAUUGCUGAAAAAAAUAAAAUUACAGACGAACAGUAUACCAACGGAUAGAUUCGUCCGUGAAUUAGUUAGUAAAAUUUUCCCUGACGAAAUGGUAAUGUUAAUGCCAACAGAAAAUUCCGUCAGUGAAACUAUUAAAUGUAGUAGUGAUUUUUCAUCAAAUAGAUUCAAAAUUACAGGAUUAAGGCUAGUUAAACAAGUAAUUUAACAUAAAACAUUUUUUUUAUUUUGCAAGCCAUUGAUAUUGUCUUUUGUUUUCAUUUUAUUGGCCCACGCCGUGUCUAUUAUAAUCCAUGCAUGGUUGCCUGGGCAUUUCUUCAAUCACAGAAUAUAUCAGAGUAUAAAAUUAACGGAUCAUGUUAUCGGGUUUCUUAAUAAUGUUUAUCCUUUCUCAUUUCCUUAUUAUUUCUUAAUAAUCCAUUGAUAUAGAAAAUACGCAAAUAACUGUUGGCACUGUCCAUCUAAAGGUAUCAUGAGUAAAUUCAAAACCAGGAACGGAAUAUUAAUAUUUAUGGAUCAAUGAAGUGAAAGAUGUUAAAAAUAAUAUUAAAAAAAAAAAGAGAACAGAGAUAAAUUUAAAAACCAAUCACAUAAUUAAAAACCAAUCACAAACGAGUUUACAGGUCUACGAAAAAGAAAAAGCAAAGUAACUUAUACAACAAGUUGGAGGAACAACCUGUUCCACGAGCUUGAAAAAAAAACUAUAACAAAUAAUAGACUGAUAAAAAUAAUUAUAGGGCAAUAUCAAAUCAAUUGCUCAAACAGGGAAUCACAAUUUAUUUUUAAUUAUGUUAAAGAAUUUAUGUUGAAAAAUAAUUUUUAACAUUAAAAGUAAGAGGAGUUUAUUUUUUAUUUGACUUUAAAUAUGUUUAUUAACUAUGUUUUAAAUAAUUUUUUCAUCAAAUAGAAUCAAUAUUACAGGAUUAUGUUUAGUUAAUUGUGUAAUUUAAAAUAAAGAUAAAUUUAGCAUAAAACAUUUUUUUUUGCAAGCCAUUGAUAUUGUCUUUUGUUUUCAUUUUAUUGGCCCACACGGUGUCUAUUAUAAUCCAUGGUUGCCUGGGCAUGCAUUUCUUCAAUCAUAGAACAUAUCAGAGUAAAAAUAAAAUUAACGGAUCAUGUUAUCGGGUUUCUUAAUAAUGUUUACCCUUUCUCAUUUCCUUCUAAUGCUAAUUUGCAGCAGCAAGUCGAAUGCGUGUCCAAAAAUGUUUCUUAUUGACAGUACUCUUGUUCAGCUGUGACCAAUAAUUGAGAUCAAAUAUCAGCUGGCAUUCAAUCAACAGAGAACUAAUAUCCACCAAACCUUUAGGCUGAUAUAUUAGAAUUUCCAUGGCGUGAUCUGUGGUGAAAUUUAAGCAUCAAUGGACAAUAAAUAGGUCUCUUUUGCUAAGUCACUCUCUUUCCUGUAAUCAUGGCUGUAAGGUUUGGUUUCAGCCAUGAAAAUAUGAUUGAUAACAACUUAACAAGUGCUGCAUGUUGCUUGAAAUGUCAAAGAUAAAUUAUGAUUAUGUGCUUACAGAAAUUUUAUUUCUUCCACCAAAUUAAUUAGCAACAAUUGAUGAUGUUGAUAAUAUAUUGGGAAUCUUGACUUCACACGUCUCCAUAGAAAAAGAAGUGCAAGUGGACGAUGAAGCUGCCGGGAAAUCACUUCAUUCCAUGAAAAAAGUUAAGGAAUUUUUUUUUUUAUUCCACAAAAUCAAAUCAAUUGUUCAGAACACAUGACUUUCCAUGUCUAUAUAUAAAGAAAAAGCAAAGUAGUUGGAGGAAUUAACUGUCACUGAUAGUGAUUGUGGAGCCCUAGACUUGAUGCAUCUAUUGGAUCCUCAUAAAUAAGAAAAAAGACAACCACUCACAUUGACUUGGUGCAUCUAGUGGAACCUGAUAUGUCAAAAAAUAAAAUAAUGAAUUUUUUUAAUCACAAAUUCACAUAUGGCUGUUUUUAGUAUUGUUGUUUUUUUCCAAGUUUAAUCACAAAUCCACAUAUCAGUGGGUAUAUUUAGUAUUGUAGUUUAAUCACAAAUCCACGGAGUAAUUUUUUUUUUUCAUUUUUACUAUGUGUCAAAGUCAAUUGACUGUAUGAAGAGAGCCAAAGUGUACAGUAUUCCCAGUCCCAAAUACACAUAACACUGCUUAGUUCUCGCUACUGUGCUCAUUAAAAUUAACUAUUUAUUGAAAAGUUGAUUUAAAUUGAACAGAAUUUAUAUGUCAAACGCCUUAAAUUGAAACCAAAUAAAGUUGAUGACGAUAGCACUCAUUUUUUUUGGUUUUAUAUUAAAAAGUGUUAUCGAACUGGCUUAUAUGUGACAUUAAACUAAAUUUUUUUUUAGCAAUCUUAAAUAUGCAUAAUGAGAAAUCCAAGUGACUCGGUUAAUAGUUGGCCUGACUUGAAUAAAUACCUAACUGCAAUUUAUUGAUUAUUUAUUUUUUAUAUAUAAAAAAAACAAUGUUGUUUUGUCCUUGGUCUGCUUUCUCAUUAAUUAUUUAAGAUUUGUGAAAGAUAUAAUACAUUAUGAUCAUAAUAACUAAAACUAGGCAGCAGAAACAAGUUAAAAUCAUCCUCUUCUUGACCUAUGACAGGAUAAUAAAGAGUAUCUUCAAAAAAUCUAACAUCUCUUGAAACAUACAUUUUUUUAUAUGAGGGAUCACAAAAUCUAUGUCUCUUUUGUGUUUUUGAAUACCCCAAGAAAAUGCAUUUGACAGCUCUGGAAUCAAGCUUGUCCCAUUUUGAAGAGGGUAAGUGCACAAAACAUGAGCAUCCAAAUACCUUUAGAUGUGCCAAUUUAGGACUUGUAACUACAAAACUUCAAGAGGAGAUUUAAAAUCCAGCAUGCGGUUGGGUAGACGAUUUAUAAGAUAGAUAGUUGUGAGAACACCAUAUGACCAAAACCCCUUUGGAACGUGCAUUUGUAACAUUAUAGCACGAGUUUUUUUCAAGCAGAUCAUGAUUUUUCCGUUCAAAGACUCCAUUUUGUUGUGGUGUACCCACACAACUAGUCUGAUGCAAUAUGCCAUUAGAAUGAAAAUAAUGUGUCAUGUCUUUGGACAUGUAUUCUGAGCCAUUAUCUGAUCGUAAUGUUUUAAGAUGAUUAGAGAAUUGAUUUGUAAUUAAAGUAUGAAAAUUCUGAAAGCAGGAAAAAACAUCGCUCUUAGCCUUUAACAAAUACACCCAUGUGACUCUAAAAAAAUCAUCAAUAAGGGUUACAAAAUAUUAAUAACCAUCAAGAGACGUAUCGAAAGGUCCCCAUACAUCUGAGUGUAUAAGUUCAAACGCAUGAGUUACAUGUGUAGUAGAAUUAUUAAACGAAAGUUUAAAUGAUUUGAAAAAAUGAUGGAUCUCACAUUCAAGAUGUUUCGAAUGGAAACUGAAUUUAUUUUGCUAAGUAUAUAAUUUGACGGAUGUCCUAAAUGACGAUGCCAUAGGAGUGGCUCAUAUGAUGUUUUGAAACUAGUCUGAAAGCUUUUGAGAAUGCGAUUAUGCUGAAAAAAAUAGUAGAGACCAUCUUCUUGGUUAAUCGGUCCUGAAAUAUAACCUUGUGAUGAGUGAAAAGAAUGGGGGCUUGGAUGUUGCUAGCAUUAUUGACUUUGGUUGGCGAAUGUAGUGGUCGUUGUUAUGGGUGUUUCGGAGGAAGAGAGAAUUGGUCUCUUGGAGAUCAAAGCUUUGAUCGACCCAAAUCACCUUUCCUUGGGACAUUGGGUGGAAAGUAGUAAUUGUUGUGAGCGGUCUGGAUCGAGUGUGAUAACACUAAAAGGCGAGGGAUCCAACUCUCUCUUAGUGGUGCAUGGGAUUUCCGCUUGGUCGAUUGGGUUCUCAACGCAUCUUUGAUUCUGCCUUUUAAAGAAUUGCAGAGUCUUGAUUUGGGCUUCAAUACAUUAGUUAGUUGCUUUGAGAAUCAAGGUUGGUUCAAUGUUUCUGUUCUUGUAAUCAUAAAAUAAAUUUAUAUUAUUUUACGCUGAUGAAGUGGCUGGUGUUAAUUUAAUGUCAAUUAUUUCACGGGUUCAUUUCAUAACUGUCAUAAUUCCAUUCUCCUAGAUAACUUUAAUUUCUCAUAGACCAAAAACACUCAAUUCCAUUACAGUUAGAGCUACAACGGUAGUCACCCGACAGCAUGUACAGAAGUCCUCGCAGUGGGGCUCACACAUUAACUAGCCACAGGUGGACAGAGCGACCACCAAGCACGGAGAGACCUUUCGUUAAUGCUUGCCAGCUACAAUUUCGGCUUUAAUGCAAACAGUUAGCCUAUCAAUUUCUUCAAACUUGAUUAAUUGAAUUGUAUUUUCGAGGAGUGCGGAGGCCAGUUAUAUCGCAUCUGGGUUUCUGUAGCUCGACUCCACAGAUCGUCGUUACUUAAGAAUUAAGUAUCUCUUUAUUCUUUUCUCUUAUGAAUGAAUCAAUUUUAUAUUGAUCAAAUAAUCAAGAACAGCUAAAGUAGGAGCCAGUGAUCAGUCCUAACUUUACUGUUUCCUUGAUUGUAAAUAAAUGCAACAUCUUGUGCAAUGAUCACCGUACGAGAGAGGCAGCUACCUUGAUUAUUUUAGAAGAUACUAACUUUACCGUAAUAGAAUCUUAAAGUUACUCCAAUUAGAAUUGUUAAGAUUAUCUUAAUGAAGUUUGAAUUUUUUAGAAUGGAAAGAAAUCUAAAUACUUAAUAUAUAAAUCAGCUACUAUCUAAAUAUUAAAUAACCCUUUAUUUUUAUGUUCCUGAAUUUUUAAACAUCUUGAGAUGAUAACUUAUACUACCAAACACUUCUACAAACCGCUAAAUAAUAUUUUAUAAAAAACAAUUGGUUUAUUUUGAAUAUGUUUUUACUAAAAAAUUUGUUCAUUUUUACUAUGUGUCAAAGUCAUCCCCAAUAAGGCACCCAUAAUUCACAGUCGAGCAAAUAAAUCCAAUUGACUGUAUGAAGAGACAGUCCCAAAUGCACAUAACUAUUGGCAAAUAGUGACUAUGGGAGACCACCAGUAUGCAUAAGGAAAUCACCAUGAAAUUACUGCUUGGUGGUGUUUAAAGUCAAAAUGGCACACCGCAAGUCAAGCAUCCGAAUACACGACAUUUUAUGCUUUAGCUCAAUUUCUCCAGUAACAGUAAUGGAGAAAGCGGGAUAUCCUACUUUUGACUACUUUAUACACCCAACGUUUAACACAAAAUAGGACUUAGGACAAUAAUUGCUGAGAAGGUGGCAUGAAAAUAACUUAAAUUGACUUCCAGAUAAAACAACGUGUUUAGCAGUGUGGUAGUAGUUGUUUUUUAAAUAAUUUUUUGUAUCGAAAUGCAUGCCAAUGAUAUUUUUUUAUUUUUUAAAAAUUAUUUUUAACAUCAGCACAUCAAAAUAAUCCAAAAAUACAAAUUACAUUAAAUUUUAGCAAAAAAAAAAAUUUCAAAUUUAGUGGGAACGCGGUUUGCACCGCAUUCCCAAAUGCUUCCAAAAUCAUGAAACCUGCACAAGAUACGCAGAUAAAAUCAUGGAAAUGGCCAAAGUGUAGUAUAAAUAGGACCUCUAUGGUUGCCCAAAUUCACAUAACAAACAACAAUAUUCUACGUAGUAGUUCAAAGAAUUAUCUAAGAUGAUGGUGAAAAAAAUGGGGGCUUGGAUGUUGCUAGCAUUAUUGACUUUGGUUGGCGACUGGUAUGGUCGUUGUUAUGGGUGCUUAGAGGAAGAGAGAAUUGGUCUCUUAGAGAUCAAAGCUUUGACCAAUCCAAACAGCAUUUACAUGAGAGAUUGGGUGGAGUACAGUAGUAAUUGUUGUGAGUGGUAUGGGAUCGAGUGUGAUAAAACUCAAAGGCGAGUGAUCCGACUCUCUCUUCGGGUUGCAAGGGAUCAGAGUUUGAGGGAUUGGGUUCUCAACGCGUCGUUGUUUCUGCCUUUUAAAGAACUGCAAAGUCUUGAUUUGUCCGGUAAUGGACUGGUUGGUUGCUCUGAGAAUCAAGGUCGGUUCAAUGCUUCUGUUCUUAUAAUCAUAAAGUAAAUUCAUAUCAUUGUGUGAAUCUUAUACUGAAAUUACGCUGAUGAAGUGGCUGGUGUUUAAUGUCAAUUAUCUUGCUUUGAUGCUUCUCUUCCAGGCUUCGAAGUCUUAUCAUCAAAACUGGAGGUACUUGACCUAAGUCAGAACCGAUUUAAUAAUGAUAAAAGCAUUUUAUCAUGUUUGACUGGGCUUUCCUCUCUCAAGUCUUUAGAUUUAUCAGACAAUGGGUUGAAAGGAUCAGGUAGCUUCUAUGUUAACUGUUUAAUUAUUUAGCUUUGAAACCUUUUCUUUUCUCCUUCACAUAUCAUGUUUUUCUACGCGUUUAUUUCCUUCCAACAUGCUUUUGAGAAACAUCAUGAAGGUUUCAAGGACUUGUCAUCAAGGUUGAAAAAACUGGAGAACCUUGACCUAAGUUGGAAUCAAUACAACGAUACCAUUUUUUCAUCUAUAACUGGAUUUUCAUCUCUCAAGUCUUUAGAUCUAUCAUACAAUCAGCUGACAGGAUCUACUGGUAUCAAUAGUAAGUUACAUUCUCUUAUACGGUUUCUUUAUCAAGAAAGUUGAGGGCUUUAUUUCUAUUUAAUAAUCAAUAAUAUCAUUUCAUCAUGUUUGACUGCACUUUCAUCUCUGAAGAUUUAUUAUCUAUGGAGCUUUCAACUUAUCCUUAAAUUGUUUUUCUAAUAAGACAGGAAGAGAUUAAAGUGAGGUGGAUCAAAAUUAGGAUGAUUAAAAAUUACCAGUGACGAUGUGUAAAAUAUAUGGAUACUUCCAAACUAUCCUUCUUGACAUAAACGCAAUCUCAAGGCAUAAAACCACCUAACUUCUUUCUUAAUCUAUGCAGUGUACACAACCUAUCUAUGCAAGGUAUAUAUAUAAUUUUUUUUUAUGUAUAAUUUGAGAAUUAUAUAUCUUGUAGGUUUUCAACUCCAACCGAUGAGGCUGGGAAAGUUAGAGAACCUUAACCUGAGUGACAAUCAAUUGAACAGUAGCAUCUUAUCAAUUCUGAGUGGGCUUUCAUCCCUCAAGUCUUUGGAUCUAUCAAAUAACAUGGUGACAGGAUCAGGUAUAGUAGACAGUUUCUACCUAACUGCUUCACAUGACAUUCUCUUAAUUAUAUUGUUUCUUUCUCAAGAAAAAUGAGGACUUUAUAUCUAUGUAGUGAUCAAUUUUUCAUGACUCGAAUCCCGGGCCACGAUGGACAAUAUAAGAGCGGCAAUAAUUAAAACAAAAACAAUAAUCCAUAAUACUCAUUGUAUUAUUUAAAUCUAAAUUUAAGUAAAACAAGGUAAUAGUGGAACGUCUAAAAUAUUGAAUUAAAACUAAAAAGAAAGCCUCAUGAAAUAAGUAAGGUAUAUCGACCAAAACUGAAAAAGUAGAAAUACUCAACAAAGUUCACCUGCUAAUAGAAACUAAUAAUAUGAAAUAAUAUUAAAAAUAAGAGGUAAGUUCAACCAACUCAGUGAGUGAAUAAUAUUUAAUAUAUAUUUUAGAUAUUAAUAGUUUGCAAGUUAAUUUAUAUCUUGAUGUGUGUGUGUGUAUCAAAUAGAAUUUAGUUUAAUAAAAUGGAAGUGCAAAUUAAAAAAUAAAUGAGUACUCAGAAAAUAAAAUGACAUAUAUAAAUAUUCAAGAAAUUAACUAGUUGUACUCAUCAUAUAAUCAAUAUACAUAUUUAUUUAUAUUACAUGCAUAUUAAAUAUUAUCUCACUCACUAGGAAAAUAUAGAACUAAAAUGAAUAUUUUAUGAAAGACCCGAAAAUUCUAUUGAGGAUCAUUAAGUGAACUUACAACAAAUAUAUGAAAUAUACUCAAAACAACCCAAAAAAACAUAAAUAAAAGAUUUCAAUGCAUAAAAGAAAAUCGGGUUUAGUCUCCUAAGUUUAGAGACUUAAACAAUAAUUUUUCAAAAUAAAGACCAAAAUAUAAUUUUACCAAAAUGUAAGUUAAACUUUCAGGAGGUGAAUUUGUUAGUGGGGAGACGGUCCUUCCUAGUUUGUGAUGAUUGUUUGUCCUGUAUGUCUAGCUAUUGGAUGCUUUGUAGUGUACUGCCUUUUUAUUUAUCUGAUUUUUGGUUAGCUAGAUUUAGUUAUAGUUAAGUUAUUUUUUCUAUGCUUUUUGUUCUUUUGUUUAUUUUGCUCUUUGAACUAAAAGCAUCUCGUGGAAACCGUUUAAUUAUUUAGCUUUGAAACCUUUUAUUUUCUCCUUCUCAUAUGAUUUAGCUUCUAUGCGUUUAUUUCCUUCCAAUAUGCUUUUGAGAAACAUCAUGCAGGUUUCAAAGUCUUGUCAUCAAGGUUGAAAAAUCUGGAGAACCUUUAUCUAAGUCGAAAUCAGUGCAACGAUGACAUUUUUUCAUCUUUAAGUGGAUUUUCAUCUCUCAAGUAUUUAGAUCUGUCAUUCAAUCAGUUGACAGGAUCUACUGGUAUCAAUAGUAAGUUGCAUUCUCUUAAGAAAAUUGAGGACUUUAUAUCUAUUUAGUAAUCAGUGAUAGCAUUCCAUCCUGUUUGAAAUUAUUGUAUCGUGUAAGCUUUACAUUCUCUCAAGUCUUUAGAUCUAUCAUGUAAGCUUUCAUCUCUAAAGAUUAAAAAUUACUUUUUGACAAUUAUUGUAAGAUAUAUAACCCAAGUUUCCAACCUAUUAUAUUAGGAUGAUUAUAUUACAAUGCACAGAAUGGAUACUUCCAAUCUAUCCUUCUUGACAAAAACGAAAUCUUAAGGCAUAAAACCGCCUAGCUUCUUUCUUAAUCUAUGCAGUGUACACAACCUAUCUUAAGGUACAUUUUUUUUUUUUUAUGUAUAAUUUGAGAAUUAUAUAUCUUGUAGGUUUUCAACUCCAACCGAUGAGGCUGGGAAAGUUGGAGAACCUUGACCUGAGUGACAAUCAAUUGAACAGUAGCAUCUUAUCAAUUCUGAGUGGGCUUUCAUCCCUCAAGUCUUUGGAUCUAUCAAAUAACAUGGUGACGGGAUCAGGUAUAGUAGACAGUUUCUACCUAACUGCUUCACAUGACAUUCUCUUAAUUAUAUUGUUUCUUUCUCAAGAAAAAUGAGGACUUUAUAUCUACGUAAUGAUCAAUUUUUUCACGACUCGAAUCUCGGGCCCAUGACAGGUAACGCUAGAGUGGUGUUAAAAGGACAUCUUACCUAUACUAUCCCUCCUAACAAAUAUAUCAAAAGAACAAGUUAUUUAAAAAUAUGUGGUAUUUUAAAAUCUUGAAAAAUAUUAUGUUAUUCAAAAUUAUUGAAACUAAAUGAUAGUUCAAAACUUCUUAUCAGUAAUGUCAUAACUCAUUCCGGGAUUAUGCCCCAAAUUCAUUUUUUUUGAAAAAAUAUAAUAAUACAAAUAAAAAAUAAAAUAAAAGUUGGUGGUGUGGAGAAAGAUUUUUUUUAAAAAAUACAUAAAAAUCCCUUCAUUUGAGGAUAGUCAUCCCUAAAGACCCUUGAUACUUAUUUAAGUCAAGGUUAAUCAUAGUUUAGUUUCUUAAAAUCUUAAUUAAUAAUAUUGAAUGGAAUGGCUACUCUGUACCACCACUAUUUUCAUCAUACCUUUUCUUCUUUCUUUUUUACAGGGACUUUCUUCAAUUCGAGCACUCUUGAAGAAUUGAAUCUAGAUGGUACUUCUUUCCCAUUAAACUUUCUCCAGAACAUCGGAGCAUUGCCUACUCUUAAAGUAUUGUCUCUUAGUUACUGUGACCUCAAUGGCACCCUGCCCGCUCAAGGUAAAUUAACAACUCUCCAUCCGCUCAAGAUUCUUUCAACACUUCUCUCAAGGAUACUUAUUUAAGUCAAGGUUAAUCAUAGUUUAGUUUCUUAAAAUCUUAAUUAAUAAUAUUGAAUGGAAUGGUUACUCUGUACCAUCACUAUUUUCAUCAUACCUUUUCUUGUUUCUUUUUCACAGGGAUUUUCUUCAAUUCGAGCACCCUUGAAGAAUUGUAUCUAGAUUAUACUUCUCUCCCAUUAAACUUUCUCCAGAACAUCGGUGCAUUGCCAUCUCUUAAGGUCUUGUCUGUUGGUGAAUGUAACAUCAAUGGCACCUUGCCCGCUCAAGGUAAAUUAACAACUCUCAAUCUGCUCAAGAUUCUUUCAACACUAUUUUGACUAUUUCAAGAUAAAUUGUACAGGUUGGUGUGAUUUGAAAAAUCUGGAGCAGUUAGAUCUCUAUGGAAAUAAUUUAGGAGGUUCACUCCCAGAUUGUUUGGGAAACUUGUCAUCUCUACAACUAUUAGAUGUUUAUGAAAAUCAGUUUACUGGAAAUAUUGUCUCUGGUCCUCUUACCAACCUCAUAUCCAUUGAAUUUCUCUCACUAUCAAAUAACCUUUUCGAAGUUCCCAUUUCAAUGAAGCCUUUUAUGAACCACUCAAGCCUCAAGUUCUUUUCCAGUGAGAACAACAUAAUAGUAACAGAACCCAUGUCCUUUCAUGAUUUGAUUCCAAAGUUCCAACUAGUAUUUUUCCACUUGUCAAAUAGUCCAACAUCGAAAGCAGUCAAUGUAGAGUUUCCCAACUUCCUCUAUUACCAAUACAACUUAAGAUUCCUUGAUCUCUCCCACAACAACAUCACUGGAAUGUUUCCAUCAUGGUUGCUUAAAAACAAUACACGAUUGGAGCAACUAUUUCUUAGUGAGAACUUCUUUGUUGGUACUCUGCAAUUGCAAGAUCACCCAAAUCAAAAUAUGACAUAAUUAGAUAUAUCCAACAACAACAUGCACGGUCAAAUUCCAAAAAAUAUUUGUUUGAUCUUUUCAAAUCUAGACAGCUUAAGGAUGGCUAAGAAUGAAUUUACAGGUUGUAUUCCUUCUUGUUUAGGAAAUAUGAGCUCUUUGGGAAUUUUAGAUUUAUCCAACAAUCAAUUGUCCACAGUAAAACUAAAACAACUAACAACAAUAAGGUUUUUGAAGCUGUCAAACAAUAAUUUGGGUGGGCAAUUACCUACCUCAGUGGUCAAUUCUUCUAGCCUGGUUUUUCUCUACCUAAGCAGUAACAACUUUUGGGGUCAGAUAUCGGAUUUUGCAUUAAAUGGGUGGAAGAAAAUGUGGACUGUAUUGGAUUUGAGUAACAAUCAAUUUUCAGGCAUGCUUCCAAGGUGGAUCGUCAAUUCUACACAACUGAGCGCAAUUGAUUUGUCCAAAAACCAUUUUAAGGGUCCAAUUCCAAGAGACUUUUGUAAACUUCGAGGGCUUGAAUAUUUGGACCUUUCUGAGAACAACUUGUUUGGUUCUAUACCAUCUUGCUUCAAUCCACCACAAAUAACCCAUGUGCAUCUAUCUAGAAAUAGAUUGAGCGGCCCAUUAACAUGUGGAUUUUAUAAUAGCUCUUCCCUGGUUACGAUGGAUCUUCAUGAUAACAACUUCAUCAGCUCCAUUCCAAGUUGGAUUGGAAAUCUUUCAUCAUUGAGUGUUCUUCUUCUAAGGGCUAAUCACUUUGAUGGUGACUUCCCUGUUCAUUUAUGCUUGUUAGAAAAAUUAAGCAUUUUGGAUGUUUCACAAAACCAACUCUCUGGUCCAUUACCCUCCUGUUUGGGCAAUCUUACUUUCAAGGAAAAUUCCGAUAAAGCAUUCGUGAAUAUUGGAAGUGUUUUUGGAUCAGCGUACAUAGGAAAAGCUUAUUAUGACACAAGGAAUCCAAAACUAGUGGAUAAUUUCCAAAUCAUGGGAAACCCUUUUCGGUCCAACAUUGCAGAAGAAGUGAUAGAAUUUACUACUAAAAAUAUGUAUUAUGGUUACCAGGGGAAAAUUCUCAGCUUCAUGUCUGGUAUUGAUCUCUCCUGUAACAACUUCUUAGGAGCCAUCCCACCAGAAUUGGGAAACUUGAGUGAGAUACAUACAUUAAACUUAUCACACAACAAUCUCACUGGAUCUAUCCCUGCAACAUUCUCAAACCUAAAGCAGAUUGAGAGUUUGGAUCUCUCUUACAACAAGUUGAAUGGUGUCAUCCCUCAGCAAUUUACUGAAAUUACCACACUAGAAGUUUUUAGUGUGGCGCACAAUAACUUGUCAGGUAAGACACCCGAGAGAAAAAAUCAGUUUGGGACCUUUGAUGAAAGCUGUUAUGAAGGAAAUCCUUUCUUGUGUGGACCUCCACUGCGAAACAAUUGUAGCAAGGAACCAGUGUCGUCGCAACCAGUGCCUAAUGAUGAACAAGAAGAUGAUGGUUUCAUAGACAUGGAGUUUUUCUACAUCAGUUUUGGUGCAUGUUACACAAUUGUGGUGAUGACGAUCGCAAUAGUUCUCUACAUCAAUCCAUAUUGGCGACGCAGGUGGUUUUACUUCAUCGAAGACUGCAUGGAUACUUGCUACUAUUUUGUGGUGGCUAGUUUUUGCAAGUUCUCCAACUUCAGAAGGUGAAUUUGUUACUGGGGAGACGAUAUUUCCUAGUUUGUUAUGAUUGUUUGUCCUGUAUAUUUAGCUAUUGGAUGCUUUGUAGUAUAUUACUGUCUCUAAGCUCAGCCUUUCUAUUUGAUUAGUUUUUUGGGCUAAAUAUAUAAGUUGAACUUCUCAUUCCUGAACCAUUAUUUUUUUUUGUUUUUUUAAUCGUUUUGACAUAUUGAUAAUAAAAAUGAGUUUUAUAAAAUAAAAAAAUUAUUUCAAUAUAUUUUCAAGUGAAAAACAUUUUAAAAAUCAAACGUUAUUACAGUAACUAAGAGACUCUUAGUUGGUUUCCAUUCACGCACACUGAUAGUGCAUAAAAUCAUGGCAUUUGGUCCUCUUACAACUAGUUACCUAAUUACUCGUAAAUGAUCAAAUUAGUUUCUUAAGGAAUUAAUUACCAUGAAAUUACUGCUCCUUGGUGUUUAAUAAUCAAAAUGACAUACUACAAGUCAAGCAUAUGCUGGUGUUUGGAAAAAUAUUUAUUUUCAGUAUACUACUGUAGAUAUAAUUUUGAGCACUUGAAGUUAAACAAGCACACGUGUACAAAUAUAUAAUUUUAUUAAAUAUAUUAUCGAGUAUAAUCUCUAUCUAAAGUAUUCUUUCAAAAGAAAAAGACAAUCCUUUGAUUCUUCCUUUGAAUUUGAUCUAUGGUGACUUCAUUUAUUUGAGAAAUCAAGCCAAGAUUUGUGCUUUACAAGAACACGAAUUUGGGUGUGUGUCGCGAAGCGAGAUAUGGUGAUUUGAUAUUUUGAAAAGUACAUUUGAUUUGUAUUCAAAGUGUUAUUGAAGAACUCUAAUAGAGCGUUUAGACUUGAUCCAAUAGAGCUUUGUUCUUUGUAGACUUCAAGCGUAGAUGAAGGAGGCUUGAGAACUUUUGAGAAAACUUCCUUGCUGAGAGAGAGAGCUUCCUUUCUUGAAGAGCUUAUCUCGAAGGAAAUUUGUAUCUCUCAGAAUCCCUCUUUCUCUAGGUUGAGGCCCUUUAUUUAUAGAGAUCUGUAGGGGCUCUCAGGUCCUUUUCCAAUGCCACGUGACAUAAUUUUAUUGGUUGAUACUUAUUGAUGAGAUCUCGUAUUUAUGAUAAGAUAUCUUGAUGGGAUCUUGCAUUUAUGACAAAAUAUCUUGAAUAUCUCACCCCAAGUAUCAACCUUUCAUUGGCCAAGAAAUAUAUGAAAGCUUACUUAUUUUCCAUGUCAUAUAUUUCAAUUUAUUUUAUUCUUUCUUUUUUUAAAAAAAUAAAAUAACACGUGGUGAAAUUUGAUUGAUAGAAAAUUUGUGUUUCUAUAACUACUCAUCUACUAUUUCCUUAGUUCUCUUCUUGGGCAUAAUCAAGGGCUCAUGAAGGAAACUGAGUCGUUACAAUUUUCAUCAGCUCCAAUUUCGAUUGAAUCAGAACCUAACAGACAUAGAAAUUAAGAACACAUCACAAGGAAUGUAUCAAAUGAAACUACUAAAAGAAUCGUAAAUCACCAAGCCUAUAUCAAUCUACAACGUAGAACAAGAUGGAAUGAUAUUGCAGGAAUUAACUAUGUUUAAAUUAUAUUGCAGGAUUAUGCUUAGGGAAUCAGUAGUUCCUUGCUUGGGAUAAUUGUUGGUCUUGUAUGUCUAGCUAUUGCUAUACUUUUUGUUCAAUCAGUUAUUAUUCCUAAAUAGAACAGACAUUAGUGGAGAUUAAUCCCUGGCCUAAUAUAUCAAGCCUAGCUCUUUCUUUUGAAAUGAACAGGCCAACGAUUGAUACAGGUCAAUCUAAGACAGCUGGCAUAUGAUGAUACUGUUGAAUAUGUCAACUACAAUUCAAAAUUGAGGAUGAAAAACCAAUCCAAUUUUUGUCAACCAAUCUUUCAUGUACAAUGAAACAGUAGAAGGAAUUGUUAAUUAAGCUUGGAACCCUGUAGCAAACAUCUGAGAUAGAAACUGCAUCAAGGGUUUUUGUUCUUCCUUUCUUCAAAUUUUUGGCGAAUUCAAUCUAUAAAAUGUUAUCCCUUUAUUUUUUAAUUCUUAAAGGGAUAUUGCGAUUGAGAAUACACAAAGGAGGCGCUACGCCUUAAAAACAAAGCCCAGAUGACAGGCCCAAUAAAGUCGGUCCAUGUGGGAGUAAAACAUAGGCCCUAUCCAGUCAGCCCAGCCUAGAUUUAAACAUCCGUCCUAUCCAGUCUGCUGCUAAACUAUAAGAAGGGGAGCUCCAUGUCUGGGCAGGAACACGCGGGAUCCAUUCUAUAGUAUCAGGAUUGGUGAUUCUGGAGCAAGAAGCCAUGGCCAUGAUCGCAGUGCUGGUGGUGCUCGAGAAACUGGCUUCCUUUGUAGCAGAAGAAACACGGUUCUUGGAAGGAUUUAGAGGGGGAAUCGUUGAACUACAAGAUGAUUUGUAUAGCAUGAAAUCUUUCCUUCAGGAUGUGGAAGAAGGGAGUGAGAGUGAUCAAGGACUGAGAGCCUGGGUCAAACAAGUGAGAGAUGUGGCUUAUGAUGCUGAGGACAUUCUUGAAGAGUUCAUGCUCCGGUUUGCUCCAUCUCACGGGAGUGGUUUUAUCCAUUAUCUUCGCAAUUCAUAUCGUUCCAUCCGUAAAUUAAGUGCACGGCACCGGCUGGCAGUCCAGUUACAAAGCAUUAAAGCAGGGGUGAAAGCCAUUUCAGAGAGAAGAAAUGCAUUUUCUUUGAAUAGGAUAGACAUGCCAUCAACCUCCGUGCUACCGUAGAGAAAUGGCAUGUCCCCGUUUAGCUGCUCUUUACUUAGAUGAAGCUGAUGUCGUGGGAAUUGAGAACCCAAAACAUCUACUGGUUUCGUGGCUUGUAGAAGGAGAAGAAAAGCUCUCCAGUAUCUCUGUGGUUGGAAUGGGUGGGUUGGGAAAAACAACCCUCGUAAAGAAAGUCUAUGACAGCCACCCCAUCAGAAGAAGCUUUGAUGCCCAUUCUUGGGUUACAGUUUCCAAAUCAUUUGCAUCCACGGAGCUUCUACGAGUUGCUCUGCAGGGGUUUCUGGUGACAGCAAACGAACCUGUUCCGGAUAAUUUGCAAUCAAUGACUGACUCCAAUUAAUUGAUGCUCUAAGAAAUUAUCUAUGGAGAAGGAGGUAUGUCAUUGUUUUGGAUGAUGUAUGGAAUGUAAACGCUUGGGAAACAAUAAGGUAUGCAUUUCCUGAUUGUAACUGUGGUAGUAGAAUUAUCUUCACUACACGUUUAAGUAACUUGGCUGAAUCUAUAGAGAACACUAGACAUGUUUAUGAACUCCAAGCUUUACCAGAAAAUGAAGCUUGGACCCUCUUUUGUAUGAAAGCCUUUAGAGGGGAACAUAAGGCUGUAUGCCCUCCAGAACUGGAAGAGAUGUCUCGAAAUAUCUUAAAGAAGUGUGAGGGACUGCCACUUGCAAUUGUAGCAAUAGGAGGCCUACUGUCGAAGAAGAAAAACCGAGGUUUGGAAUGGAAGAAAGUCCAUGACUGCCUAGCUACAGAAUUGAAAAGUAACAACGACCUUGGAGUCUACGUAGAAUACUUCAACUAAGUUAUGAUAUCUUCCUUACUACCUCAAGCAGUGUUAUUUGUAUUUAAGUGUUUUCCAGAGGAUAUUUGAUAAAAAGAAGGAAGUUGAUCCGGUAUGGAUAGUUGAAAGGUUUGUGGAAGAGAAGCAAGGCUUUACAAUGGAGGAAGUAGCAGAGGAAUACCUUAAUGAACUCGUGAAUAGGAGUUUGAUCCAAGUGGUGGAGAAGAAUUAUUUUAAUAGGGUCAAGACAUGUCGUGUUCAUGAUCUAAUGCGAGAAAUCAUUCAAAUGAAAUCCAGGGAAGAAUCUUUUGUUAUGAUAGCAAACGGAACAAGAAUCAGCAGAAUGAGAAAGUUCGGCGUCUAUCAAUCCAUGAAAACUCUGAGGAAGUACAAUCAGAUAUGAGAUUUCCUUAUCUGUGGUCUUUGUUGUCAUUUUCUUCACAUCAUUCUUUUGAGCACGGUUUUCGCAAUUACAAGCUGUGAGAGUGUUGAAUUUAGAUCGAGCUCCCCUUUCCACCUUCCUACCUGAAUUGGUUGAACUGAUUCAUUUGAGAUACUUAAGUUUGAGAUGGACCAUGAUAAGUGAGCUUCCAGAGUCCAUAAGGAAGCUCAAGUACUUGGAAAUACUGAUUUGAAAAGGAGUCUGUAUCUUCUUUGCCUGCUGGGAUCACACAAUUGACAUGUCUUUGCCAGCUCCGUAACUAUCGAUACAUUUUCCAGUCCUCAUCGUUCUUCCCAGACACUCAUGGAAUGAGAGUUCCAUCAGGAAUAGGAAGAUUGACGAGCCUGCAGAAAUUGGGAAGCGUCGAAGUGAAUGAAGAUUAUGAGUUAGUCAGGGAGUUGGGAAAGCUAACUCAGUUGAGAAGGCUGGGCAUUUUAAAGCUAAAGAAGAGCAGGGAAUGGAUCUGUGUUAUACUUUGGACAGGUUGAAACACCUUACUGCAUUGUAUCUUGUUUCACUAAACAACACUGAAUCUUACAAUUUGACUCUCUUUCAUCUCCUCCAAAAUAUCUCCAACGACUAAUCUCAAAUGUAGUCUUCCAGCUUUACCAGGAUGGAUAGCUUCACUCCAGUAUAUUUCCAAGCUAGUGCUUCAAUAUUCUAAUUUGAAAAGUGAUCCUCUCAAGGCCCUCCAGAAAUUGCCUAGUUUGGUGGUGCUUGAACUCCGUCAAGCUUAUGCAGGGGAAGAACUGUGUUGUGAUCCUAGUGGAUUUUCAAAGCUGAAGAGGCUAGGUCUCCAUGAACUGGAGAGAUUGCGGCGCAUCAGAAUAGCAAAAGGAUCAAUGCCUGGGUUAGAGAGGCUAGACAUCACAGCAUGCACGGUGCUAGAAACUGUGCCGGAUGGGAUUGAAAACCUGAAAAAUAUAGAAGACCUGGUUCUGUGGUAUAUGCCUUCAACAUUCAUCAAGACAAUAGAGAGGUACCGCGGUGAAGAUUUCUGGAGAGUUCAACAUAUCACAACAAUCACCCGUAUCUACGAGAGCCAGGGGAGACGGGUCUCUGAAACUCUUCUGUAAUUAGAGGGGUUAACUACGGAGAGGAUACAGUUUCCGGAAAAUUAUGAUCUCUGUCAAGUUCCUCAGGUCUGUACAGACGUUUCAUCAUGUAAUGCUGAGCCUCAGAAAACAGAAAACUGCUGCUCUUCCCUCCUCUUCUCUGCUCCUUUGUCUCU